rnacentral:lncRNA from 1 species
UGAUCACCAAAUGGCCGGCCCUCCGGCGAGGUCGCAAACCCUGAUCGAUCGUCAUCCGCACCAAGUGGCGAAAUUUUGUGCUUCUUUCUCAAGCCAAAAAAAAAGAAAAAAUAAUUGUAGGACACGUUUCGCACAAACUGCUAGAUUAAGUACGUGGCGCGCCCGAUUAAGUCCGAAGUGGUUACAGUUCGCAAGGAGUUUAAGCCUGUAAAACUAGUUCUUUUUCUUUGAUUUGGUAAUAGUGACAAUAAAGUGUCUUGGGCGGCCAAAUAGUGGAAGUACAGUUCGACUUUUUGAGUUUCAUCCGGUAACUUCACCCAGUGAAUUUUCUUUCAACGUUACAAUGUGUUUGUGCGCGCGCGUGGGCUGUGUGUUUUAGUUGAAUUUGGAUCCUUUCAAGAGAUUAGACGCGCUCUUUGGGAAUGCUGCAGUAUCAUUACAAGCAUGGGGCAGAGAACGACCGGAAACAUCAAGUUGCUCAUGACAGUGGCCACCUUCGUGAUAUGCAGAUUCGACAAGGCACAGGAAGCCCGCAUCCCCACGGAUCAGGAGCUCUGGUUGUGUCGUACUCUUGAGCUUGCGUUGCUGGGCAUGGCCUCGCUCGAGCGGACAAUUGAGCGUGAGCGCUCAAGAAUGAGAUGGGUUAAGGAAGGAGAUGCUAACACGAAGCUAUUCCAAGCUUCCGCCAACGGCAGGAGAGUCAAGAACUUCAUCCCGCUUUCCGCAAAAAAAGAAAAAAAGAAAAAAAAAAGAACUUCAUCCCGCGAAUCAAGGUGGGAGACGAGGUGCACACCGAGCAAGCCCGCAUCGAGGCAGCUUUCUCCUCAUCUUUUAAGGAACUUUGAGUUUCAUUCGACCCACUAUCAACGUUACAAUGUGUGUGCGCGCGCGUGUGGACUCUGUGUUUUAGUUGAAACGAUUGCAUUUUACUAGUGAUUGAGGCCCGUCAUUGUGGGCCUCUUGAAAGGAAGUUGAGCGCGUAUUUUUUCUCUUAAAUGAAACAAAAAAUUCUCACUUUUCUUUUAUUUUUUCUAAAAAAACUUUCUCGCAACACUUUAACAUCACAUCCAUCUCAAACAGAAAAGGAAAAACCUAAAAAAUCUCAAAAGCAAAAAAAAAGUCUCACUUCCAUCUUCCAAAAAUAAUCUAAAAAAACUUUUCUCAAAAGAAAAAAAAUCUUAAUUUCAUCUUCCAAAAAAUUAAAAAGUUUCUCGCCACGGCCAACCAGCAUGCGCCAUGUGGCCAUGCUGGUUGGUCGCCCUUCUCCCGCACGUUAAUGUGUUUAAUUAGACAGCCUUCGAGGCCACUAACGUGCUAACGGAUGCUCCAGCCAAGUUUUACAAAGCUUAUUCAAGCAACUUUGCCUACUAAGUUAUAGAGCGACUUUAUUCGCCAAACAUAGCACCCAUCUAACUUUUAACUCAAAACCCUGUAGAAGUCCUUUCACCUCUUCAAUAAUGUGUCCAUUUGUACAGCGAUCUCAAGCACCCCUCCUUGCUCCCGUGGACACCUGUCUGAAAGUCAGAAUCUAGGAUGAGCUUCCGAGCUCCAAUUUCUCUCGCAAGUUGAAUAGCACGCCGGCACGCCAUGAGUUUAGCAAGUUCCGGAUCCGUGAUGCAGGGAAAAAAGGGCAUAUUCUCCCUCUUGAAAAGCUCCAUGAUGGUCCCUAGAACCGCCCAUCCACCGCCAAAAUCAAGAGUCUUUGACAUAGCACCCUCUGUGUUGGCCUUGACCCAUCCUACCCCUGGAGGGCUCUAUAGGUGUCAAAACCGGCGGAUCUCGGGUAGGGGGUCCUGAACUAUGUAUCCGAGGAUCGAUGGUAACAGGGGGAAACAAGGACACGAUGUUUCCCAGGUUCGGACCCUCUUAAUGGAGGCAAUACCCUACUUUCUGCUAGAUUGAUCUUGAUGAAUAUGAGGAUUACAAGAGUUGAUCUACCUCGAGAUCGAUGUGGCUAAACCCUAGAAGCCUAGCCUAUGGUAACUGUGAUUCUGCCUCUACGGACUAAACCCUCCGGUUUAUAUAUGCACCGGAGGGGCCUAGGGUUGUACAUAAUCAUCUUGCAGAGGAAGGAAACAUUACACCCGAACUUUAAACUUGCCAUUCUACACAUAUAGGAGUCCUAUCCGGAUACAGGAGAUAAUCUUCCGUAGUGAUCUUCACGGCCCACCAGUCCGGCCCAUAACGAGUAAUCCGGCCACCCGAGGACCCCUUAAUCCAGGACUCCCUCAGUAGCCCAUGAACCAGUCUUCGACGACGAUGAGUCCGGCGCACGUACUAUCUUCGGCAUCGCAAGGCGGGUUCCUCCUUCCGAACAUAUGAAGUUUAUUUCCUGGAUAAAGGAACCAUGUCCGGCUCUGCAUGAUUAGUACAACCCUUAGCCACGAAGGCAAUGUGUCAAAACAAACACUGUGUCUUUACUGACAACUUUCCAGCGAAAUGUCAUGCUUGAUCCUUUAAUAUUUUGAACCGUUUUCUUGACUCUGGUUUCGCAUUUCGAGGCAUAGCCUCUAUUGGCACAUCUUGUCGAAGCAGAGAUCGUGCCCGCUUAUCGUGGGAUCCUCAUUAAUAUGAUUUGGGUAACCCAACCGCACCUUACGCACGAUUACGGUGGGAACAUACGAGUUUUACAGCUCGAGUGGGAGGACACUUGGUAUUUACUGCCUAUAAAAGGACAUAGAUCCCCUCUUUUACCUCAAGCUCUCCUCAAGCCCUUGCUGCCCAAUCUCUUAGCUCCAGCGCCCACAGCUCCAGCGCCCGCAGCUCCCAUCUCCUCCACCACCGCCUCCUUCUCCAGCAACGGCUGGAUCUGGUUCCAAGGGCAAGUGGGAGGCCUCCACUAUCAAGGAGAAGAACGUGAAGAGUCUCCGGAGCGCAGGCUACCUCGCCGACGACAUAGGGCACCGGAUUCCUGACGAGGAUCAGUUGAUCCCCGUCCCUGAGCCUGGUGAGAGGGUGGUAUCCAUCCCUCACUUUAUUCGGGGGCUGGGGUUUCCGCUUCACCCCUUUAUUCAGGGUCUCUUAUUCUUCUACGGGCUAGAUUUCCAUGACCUGGCCCCAAACUCUAUCCUCCACAUAUCGGCUUUCAUAGUCGUGUGUGAAGCUUUCCUCCACGUCCCCCACACUUCGACUUAUGGCUCAAGACCUUCAAUCUGAAGCCGAAGGUGGUCGACGGGCAGCACGCGGACUGCGGGGGAGCUAUGGUGAGCAAGCUCCCAAAUGCAAUCUGGACCAAAGGGGCCUUUGUGGAUACCAACAAGAUAUGGCAGCAGGAGUGGUUCUACAUCACCGAACCCCGCGAUGCCAAGUGGGCAUCCACGCUCGAAUUUAGAUCUGGACACCCAUAGAGGCUCACCUCAUGGACCACCAAGGGCCUUUAUUGGGGGUCUCAGACAGAGGUGAAGACGCUCCAAAACCGCAUCUCCAGCAUGAUGUCGAAGGGCACCCACCUCACCAACGUGAUUCAGGUGAUGCUCUUCUGUCGCACCCUUCCAUGCCAACUCCGGGCCUCCCACUUAUGGGAGUUUUAUCCGGAGGAGCCACGGACCUUGAAGCACUUCUUCGGCACUACGCACGAAGACAUAUGGAAGCAACUUUUCAAGGCCCAGAAGGAAUGGCCAGAGGAGACCGAAGACAAGGGCUUCGACAGCGUGACUUUGGCCUUAGAGGUAAGCACAAUUUUGUCGAAUACGUAUCUUGUCCAUAUUUCAAUUAUGACAGGAAUUAGAACUCUUAUGUUCCAUUCAGGCCUGGACGAAGAAAGCGGAGCGGAUCAACUGUCUGACUCCGUUGCCCGAAAACCCAGCCACGCCCCAACUAACGGUGAUGCUGGUUCUGGCGCCGUACAAGGCGCCGGAGAAGAAGGCCAAGAAGAAGGGCAAGGAGGUCAAGAGCGGCCCCCGCCCUAAGGGUCUUUCGGAUACUGUGUCCGGAGAGACCGACGCCCACUCCUCCCAUGAUGAAGAGGAAGAGGAGGAGGAGGAAAGCGAUUCCCCCCUCAAGGGAAAGGGGAGGGAGAGGGCGGCUCCCGAAGACGCGGGAAAUGGGGCGCCCAGGAGGAAGCUGAACCUCCCGGGCAGCUCGGACUCGGAGUCCGAAGCUGAUUUCCGAAAGCAACCCAGGAGCAAGCCCCUGGCCAAAUCGUAAGUGUUCGGACUUUUGCUGUUAUCUUCGGUCAGUUUGUUAUCAUUGCAUAAGCAAUUCUAUUUGUUGUUUUGCAGUCCUCCCCUCACACUCCCCAGCACACCAUUAUCGCCAGGGAGCUCUCUGCCAACUGACAUGGCGGAGAGUGACAUGCCGCCACAAGCUCAAUCGCCCAUCAUACAGGGAACACCGAGGUGACUUCCCAGCGGGUGUCUCCUGCGCGAGGAGGUGGGAGUGGGGCGGACGAGAGGGUGCCCGAGGUCGACACCUCAUCCACCGUAUGCCAAGGGGAAGCAGUCCCUAUGGCAACCAACGACGGAGAGCCCAAGCAAUCCGAGCUCCCACUGAACACCGUUCCGGAGGCCAGCAUGGCUCCGGAAUCGGGAAGGCAGCCCCCUACGAUAGGGGGAGGAGCAUCAGCUCCAACGGCGUCCUCCAUUAAUCCGGAGGCGCCGAACACGCUGGAGCAAGCACUGCAAGGUGCUUCCAUCAUGGAGGAACACCGCACCCUAAUGGGUGCGGUUAUGGGAAAGAUUCAGUCUGCCAAACGUGGACUGAAUGAAGCCUUCAACGGCAUACUGACAGGCUUUGAGGUAUGCGACGCAAUACUCUAAAAGAACUUUACGUUUUAUUUGUAUAGGAUAACAAACCUGUAUACGGAUAGUAGCCUCUGAUGCUUUGUCUGAUUCUAAAGAGAAUCGGACAGAGCGUCCACGUAGUACCAGCUAAUAGAACAUAUUGUGCCAUUUUUUGUACAGGCUUCCCUCAUAGAGGCAUCCGCCCAGGCCACAGAGGUUUCCAAGCUCAAUCGGAAGCUUCAAAUAGCUGACGCAGAGCUCGAUCGCGUUAACAAGCGAUUUGAUGAAACGCAAGGUAUGCAGACUUUCAAAUAAUUAUUAUGUCAAAUGACUAUGUGUUUGAUUGUAAGAGUACAAACUCAUUGUGCGGUGUGAUUAUGUCACAAUUGGCGCAGCUAAGGUCGAGACCCUCAAAGGCGCUCUUGCACAGGCCAAGAAGGAGGCCGAGAUGAACAAAGCAGCCACUGACAAAGUGGUUGCCGAGCUAGAGGCCGAACAUGUCUCCCGUCAACAACAUGAGUCGUGGGUGGCCGAAGUCAAACAAGAGCUACGAGACGCCAUCCGCAAAUGCAAGGAGUGGGAGCAGAAGACUUUGGACCAAGCAUCCGAACUCAAUAAGGCUCUUGAUGCCGCCAAGGAGGCGCGGAGUGAGUCUCGGAGUGCUCGCGAGGAGAUCAAGCAGGCGUGGCUGGUAAGGCCUUUCUUCUACAGAGUAUCUUUGGAGGUCGGAAGUAUGUGUCGCUGACGCAAUUGUGGAGUUCUCCAGACACGUUUGCGGAUCUCCCGAAGAGUAUUGCCGCCGUCACCGAAUUCUUCCAAGCCCAGGAGGGGAAUAGCACGGAGAAGCUGUUCUGGUCGCAAUUCCUUGCGCCAGAACAUCCAGUACCUCUGAACGACCAUUUGAAGCAGCUGGUCGAGCUGCACAACAUGGCGGGUGCAGCCAUGAAGGACUUGACAGUCCGGCUCUGGCCCGCCGAGCCGAUCCGAGUAGCUACUUUGGAUUGGUGAAGUGAUUCGUCGAUGCGAGGCCGCGGGUCGACGCUGUGAAGCGUUCGACCUGUAUAGAGGGUGCACGAAUGGCCUUUUCCCGCGUCAAGAUGCACUGGGGGAAGAUGAAGGCCACCAAAGUGGCAACCGCCGGCCCGCCCGAGGGCAAGGAUCAUCGGAGGUCGCAGAGGUACUUCGAUGACGUCCUAGAAGGAGCCCGUAUUAUAGAGGGCCAGUGCUCAAAGGACGCGGCCUUUGAGUAAUUGUAUUCAGAUUGUAAAGACUAUGCUUAUGAACCGAUAUGUAUAUAUUUUUGUGCCUUAUGUUUCAAGUGACUUUUCCUCCUGUGUGGCUGUUUAUUUUAUAUCUGAAAGUUUCCAGUCGUCGGCUUCAGCCCCCAUGUAAAUGCUAUAGGGGUGUUCGGCACAACGCGUGACUACACUUUACCCAACGUCUUGGUCUUUAAAGGAGGUGUCCGCGAAGUGAACCAGGCAAACAAACUAUGUGGCUUUAUUUCUUUCACUUAGCCAUAGGAGUUUGACUGUGGGGCUAAGUACUAGCCCCUUGUGCGUGUGCGGCUACCCGAAUUACGGGCCUGCUCUACGCGGCUGGGUGAAGACCAGCCCCUCGUAUAACACGGAGUAGAUCGCUAACGAUCUAUAGUAUAAUACUAAGUCGACGAAUCGCCGACUAGUUCUCGCUUAUCAUGAUAGUCAGUUUUUGGCUUUACCUACUGAGGUACUUGACUGGAUGAACCAUAAAUACAAUCACAAUAGUUCUCCCUUUACUACCUUAGCCGAACAAUACGGAACGUAAGGUGGUAAGCACAGGAGCCGGGCAACCCAAGUAUAGACCCAAGACAUGAUUCGGAGCCGAUGGAUAUAACAGUAUAUCCGGGACGCUGAACAGUUCCCUAUAGGUGUCCGUACUUUGAAGUGUGCCAGGCGGGAUACAACCCCUGGUAUUAAAUCCAGAUUUGAGGCACAUGUGGCAAUCUGAGGUAGGGAGAGAACGCAGAUGGUAAUAAAAUAAACUUCAAACAAAUUGGAACCAAACUGCUUCUUUUAUAUACUGUUUAAUACGGCGAGCCGCAUGGUUACAGAUAAUGCCAAUAACAUCUUGGGCAUUUUACAUGCCAAAGAAAAAGGGAAGAAAAGUGAUAAAGGGAAAGGUUUACACAGAGCCUAAAAUUAAUGAUUUAAAAAUCUCGAUGGAGGCCCUGCUGCACGUCUGCGUCGUUUCUCCUUUAUAACACGUCCUUGAAUGGGAGAGGUUUGAUGGCCGCCUGCGAAAAAGGAAGGAGAACUCUGAAAAAGAAUGCCCUGCACGACCAUAUAUUGACACCAGGAAAAAAUUGAAAGGAAGAAGAGGCGACGAAUAUCGUUUUAUCCACAAAGGUGAUACGUUUCCCUAACGGAACCAUGAGGCUUUCUUGUGAGAAGCUUAUACCACAACCUCCCUCAAAUGGGACAAUAUUUUUUACCCCAGCAUGUUGAUGUCAUUCCAUGAUAGCAUGCCAAGGUUCAUGAAUUUCAGACAGGUUUUGGAUUUACUAGAAUUACAAAAGCAUGUACCUCAACAUUUGCCAGAGAGCCACAGUGCCGUGGUGUUCGAAAUUCAUCCCCAUUUCUUGCAUGAGACAUAAUCAUAAACCCAUGGACACAUAUAUGAUUUUACAACCCAUGUUGGUCAUCGGAGCAUGUGCAUGUGCUUUAAUUUUGAAUUGUGCACCUGAAAUGGCUAGAAAACCAAUUUAAUGUAUAAAAUGUCCAAACGAACCAUGAAUAAUCCCAUUUUUUAUGACACACAUAUAGUUGCAUGUUCACUGCAGAUAAAAGGUCUAGCAAUUCAAACACCGUCCAUUUCCACUGUGACCCCAUUAUGUAAUUCAAAUCAAGACGAAAAAUCAAGUAGAUCCCACACAGUUUAUUAUCACCAACCGUGUGAGAUCUAGCAUAAAAUAUCUUGGAGCACCAUCGGAUUAUAGUACGCAUACGGCUUACGUGAGAAGGUGCGACGGCUACAGUCCACAGCCCGCUCUGAAUAAGGGACCGUGUCUGAUGAAACUUUACGUGCUAGUUUUUUCAUUGAAGCGAUUCCAAAUUUUCGGCUUCCGCUGAAAUAUCUACCUCCCCGCCCCUUCCCCUUACCAAAAGCCACAUUUCCCUUGUUUCCGCCUUCCUUUCCAAGUUCAAACCUUCACUACUUGCUUGCAGCGCUGCCUCCUCGCCGACGACCCUCCUUCACGCUGCUCGGCCUCACCUAUCUAGGCAGGUAAGCCACACCCGACCCCCAUCCUCCUCCUCCUUCCACAUCCCACAUGCCCCAACCGUCGGUGCGAGCGCGACACCUUCCACCCAAAUCACCGAUCCCUCCACCAAAUAAGCACCGCCCUAAGCCAUGGUGCAUGCAGUAUAGCCAGGAUCUCAAGGAGCAUUUGGCAGUGGAGAAGCAAAUCGCGGCCGCACACGCGGAUGAGGUCGCGAUGGCUGCCAUUUGUGCCGACCCCCAGAUCUUGGAGGAGCACCUCGCCAUCGAGGCCACCGUUAACACCUCGUGCGCCGACGCCGCGACGCGGUUGGCUGCUUUAAACGACAUUUAGUGGCGUUUUCUCGAGGCCACCAUCGGUGCCUUCGACGAAGACUACGAUGUGUUUUCUCAGCGUGCACGUGCUUACCUCAUCUCGAGAGCCAGCAGGUUGGUGCUUGGAGCGGCUCAAGCAAUUCACCACUACGACGAGGGCACCCACGAUGCGGAGGCCCCGCCCUCUUCCAUCUCCAAGGAGCCAAUCGUCAUCGAUAUCUCCAACAAUGAGGAGUAGCUUGUCUUAUUACCUCACUAUAAGGACCCAUGUUCAGUUUGCUAGCUAUUGCCUUAACAAAUUCUAGUGAAUUGUGAUAUCUACUUUUACCAUGCAAUCUUCUGCUCUAGUGUAUAUAUUCUAUAUGUCGUGCAAUGUGGUGUCCAGUUAACUAUUUGGUUCAAAUGUGAUGUUCAAUUCUUCAGGGUGCAAUUUUCCAAGUUGUAAAGCAUGUUUGGUUUGGUUAACUGUCUGAUCUUCUAUUAGGAGUGUUAUAUUGUGCAAUGUGGUGCUCAGUUAAAGUUUGGUUCAUUUGUUGUGGUGUUUAGUUAACUGUUUGGUUCAAUUUUGCAAUGCGAUGUUCAAUUGUUGUGGGUGCAUUCUGUUAUUGUAUACCAUGUGAGAAACAAAUCGAAUUUGGCUGUACUAAAUACAUGAGAAACAAAUACAAUUGCUAUAUUUCCAAGUUGUUAAGAAUGCUUGGUUUGUUUAACUCUCUGAUCUUCUAUUAGGAGUAUGUUAUAUUAUGCAAUGUGGUGCUCAGUUAACGUUUGGUUCAUUUGUUGUGGUGUUUAGUUAACUGCUUGGUUCAAUUCUGCAAUGUGAUGUUCAAUUAUUGUGAGUGCAUUCUAUUAUUGUAUACCAUGUGAGAAAUAAAUCGAAUUUGGUUGUACUAAAUACACGAGAAACAAAUACAAUUGUUAUAUUUCCAAGUUGUUAAGCAUGUUUGGUUUGGUUAAUUGUCUGAUAUUCUAUUAGGACUAUGUUAUAUUGUGCAAUGUGGUGCUCAGUUAAUGUUUAGUUCAUUUGUAUGGUGUUUAGUUAACUGCACGUGCAUGGUCCGUUGUCUAAUAGCACAUUAUUAUGCAAUUGCAAGAACCAUUCUAAUAUUUAGGUUUUUAACAAUUUGGUCUUGCACAUGUAGGUCCCGCUGUCAGAGGUUUUGACCCACUGUUCGACCCUUUUUGCAUAUGGGGAAAUGAGUUGUCCAUGAAUAUCAAUCAAGUCAAGAAACUCAGAAAGAUUGUUAGGAUAAAGAAAUUAGCGACAAAAAACAACAAGAUCUUUGUCUACACAAUGAAGAAGACAUCAGUUCACUACAAGAUGGUACUAACUAUUAUGCCUUGCCUUUUUUAUUCAUUUGCCCCAUUUCCAAUAUAGAGAAGAUAUUUAGGCACAUCCUUGUUUCAGGCCUUUCCAAAGCAGUUCACUGAUGAUUACCUCUCAAACCACCUCUAUGGCCAGGAGGCGAGGAAGGUUUUCAUACAAAACCCAUGGUUCAAUAUUGAAGUUUUUCUGAAGAGGAUGAAGGACGGACAGCCAAUCAUCCACAUGCACUGGCCUAAACUUGUAAAGACCUUCAACAUGAAUGAAGGAUCAAUAUUCGCCUUCCGCUUCAGCAGUUUUCCAGAUGAGAUGCAUCUGUCUAUAUACCGUCUAUGAUGCUAAUUUCGAAAGGUUCUACAUGUUGCAUGUGAAACUUGGUGCUAGUGCAGUUGUGUAAUAGGGUAGGUGAGUGCUGAAGCUAUAUCAUGUUGUACUCUGAUGUAUUUCAAUUAUGAAAUCCUGCUUCCUUAAUAUGGAAAUGAAAUAUAUUAUGUGCUUAAUAUGAAUGUCAAUUAGAUUAAUAAAUGGAUUAUUAAUAAUAGGGAAAUUAGCCUACUAAUGGUGAAUUAGCCUGCUAAUUGGGUUUUGCUAUUACAAAAGGUUAUUGAGAAAACACUGUGGGCGAUGACCUCAGGCAACGCACACAGUUUCUAGGAAUAAACCAUGUUGGAUCAAUGAACAAUCACACACGACCUUCUCUUGAAAACUGUUUGCGUUAGGCCACCAUGCGCAAACGUUUACCACAUAAAAACUGUGUGUGAUGGACAACCUUUGCCACACAGUUUCUUCUACGCACCGUGUGUGUGAUGCAUUCAAUAACGCAAACGAUAAAAUUGUUAGUAUCAUGUGCAAUGGCAACACUAUCACAAACUAUUUAACGGGGAAAUUGUGUGUGAUGUACCUGUGAACGGAAACGUUUUUCCUUGGAACGACUAUGUGGGAUGUACAUUAAACGUUUAGCGGGGACUGACUGUGUGGGAUGUACUUGUGACCGAAAACAAUUUCGUGGGUAUAAUUGUAUUUUUAGCUCUACUAUACGUAUUUCAGUAUUUGAGCAAUUGCCGGUCGCACACGACCUCAAUUUGCCGAGCGUGUAUGCCAGGAGGGCAUAUCCCCGACGGUUUCUGGGUCGUGUGGGAAGGACCCCCUAUCCCCGUCACUCACUAGGCGACGGUUCCAAAUGCCGUCGCGGAAAGGGCUCAAAAACCGUUUAUAUAGCACCGGCGCGUACCAGUGAAGGGUGAUGCUAAGAUAUGGUUUAAUUCUCUUGCUCCUAGUUGUGUGCGUAGUCCCCCAGGAUAUGAUAUAUUACUUCUUUGAAAUAUAUUUUCCUGCUCAUGAGAAACAAGUUGCUUUACAGAGAAUAUUUAAGUUUGUGCAAAUUGAAGAAGAGAGUCUCCCACAAGCUUGGGGGAGGCUUCUCCAAUUACUUAAUGCUUUGCCUGAUCAUCCUCUCAAGAAAAAUGAAAUACUUGAUAUCCUUUAUAAUGGACUAACCGAUGCUUCUAGGGACCACCUAGAUAGUUGUGCUAGUUGUGUUUUUGGGGAACGAACUAUUGAACAAGCUGAAGUACUAUUGAAUAAUAUAUUGAGUAAUGAUAAUGAUUGGACUCUUCUUGAACCACCUCCUAAGCCAACUCCGAAGAAGAGAGGUAUUCUAUUUCUCAGUCCUGAAGAUACGCAAUAGGCAAAGAAAUCUAUGCAAGAAAAAUGUAUUAAAGCUGAAGACGUUAUGAAUUUACCGCCUAUUGAAGAAAUACAUGGUCUUAAUAGUCCGACACAGGUAGUAGACGUAAAUUCUCUUUAUAGAUUUGAUGAAGGUGAUAUUCCUUAUACUAAAUCUGCUAGUCAAUGCUUGGAUGAAUUUGAUAACUUUAUUGUUAAAAAAGAAAACUUCAAUGCAUAUGUUAGUAGAGAGUUAAAACGAAAUGCCUAUAUGCUUGAACACUUGAGUGACUAUAUGUGUAGACCUGUUAAUGAUCUCAAGUUUGUUAGUAAACAUGCUUCCAUGGUAAAAACUCAAGUAGAACAGGUUCUCAAGGCGCAAAAUGAUUUGCUCAAUGAGAUGAACAAUAAAAUGAAUGUCCUGCUGUUAGAGUUAUGACUAGAGGUGGUAAAAUGACUCAGGAACCUUUGUUUCCUGAAGGCCAUCCUAAGAGAAUUGAGCAAGAUUCUCAAAAAAUUAAUACUGAUGCACCAAGUUCAUCUAAGAAGAAAAAGAAAGAUGAUAGGACUUUCCAUACUUCUAGUGAACCUGUUAUAGACAUACAUGAGAACCCAAAUGAUAUUUCUAUUUUAGAUGCCGAGACACAAUCUGGUAAUGAACAUGAACCUAGUAAUAAUGUUAAUGAUGAUGCUCAUGUUGAUGCUCAACCUAGUAAUGAUAAUGAUGUGGAAAUAGAACCUGCUGUUGAUCUUGAUAACCCACAACCUAAGAAUAAAAGAUAUGAUAAGACAAACUUCAUUGCUAGGAAACAUGGAAAAGCAAGAGAGCCAUGGGUUCAGAAACCCAUGCCCUUUCCUCCUAAACCACCCAAGAAAAAGGAUGGUGAAGAAUUUGAGUGCUUUGUUGAAAUGCUUAGACCUGUCUUUUGCGCUUAUGUUUGACUGAUAUUCUGAAAAUGUCUCCUUAUGCUAGGUAUAUGAAAGAUAUUGUUACUAAUGAAAGAAAAAUACCGGAAGAUGAAAUUUCCACCAUGCUUGCUAAUUAUACAUUUAUGGGUGGAAUACCAAAGAAACUAGGAGACCCUGGGAUACCAACUAUACCAUGCUCCAUUAAAAGAAACUAUGUUAAAACUGCUUUAUGUGAUCUUGGGGCCGGUGUUAGUGUUAUGCCUUUCUCUUUGUAUCGAAUACUUGAUUUGAAUAAGUUGACACCAAUUAAAAUCUCUUUUCAAAUGGCCGAUAAAUCAACUGCCAUACCCAUCGAUACUUGUGAGGAUGUGCCUAUCGUAGUUGCAAAUGUUACUAUCUUAACGGACUUUGUUAUUCUUGAUAUACCUGAGGACGACAAUAUGUCGAUCAUCCUUGAUAGACCCUUUUUGAAUACUGCAGGGGCUGUUAUUGAUUGCAACAAGGGCAAUUGUCGGUGUGAAAACCGGUGGAUCUCGGGUAAGGGGUCCCGAACUGUGUGUCUAAGGCGGAUGGUAACAGGAGGCAGGGGACACGAUGUUUACCCAGGUUCGGGCCCUCUUGAUGGAGGUAAUACCCUACGUCCUGCUUGAUUGAUCUUGAUGAGUAUAUGGGUUACAACAGUUGAUCUACCACGAGAUUGUAAUGGCUAAACCCUAGAUGUCUAGCCUAUAUGAUUACGAUUGCCUCUACGGACUAGACCCUCCAGUUUAUAUAGACACCGAAGGGGGCUAGGGCUUGUACAUAGUCGGCUUACAGAGAAAGGAAUCUUCAUAUUCGCACGCUAAGCCUGCCUUCACGCCAAGGAGAGUCCCGUCCGGACACGGGGAUAAUCUUUCGUCUUGUAUCUCCACGACCCAUUAGUCCGACCCAUAUCACAAAGCCCGGACACCCGAGGACCCCGUAAACCUGGAAUCCCUUAGUAGCCCCUGAACCAGUCUUCAACGAUGAUGUGUCUGGCGUGCAGAUUGUCUUCGGCAUUGCAAGGCGGGUUCCUCCUCCGAACACUUCAAAGUAGUUGAGCACCAGCACUAUAUCCGGUUUUGUACAAUAGUCACAAUCCUCAAACAUAAAGGUAAAAUGCAGAUAAGUUCCGUCUUCUGAUGAUUUCACGGAUGAGAUGCUACAUCUAGCCGUUUUAUUACUUUAGACUGUUUUUUGGCCUCCCGUUUUGCGGUUCGAGACGCAACCUUCGGCGACACGUCUUGUCAAAGCAGAGAUCGUUCCCCCUUAUUACGAGAUUCUCAUGAAUACGAGUUUUGGUAACCUAACUGUCACUACAAAAAAGAGACAUCCGUGACAUUUUGGGCCGAACGAAUUUUUUUUCUGUCAUACAUAUGACACUUCUAUGACAAUAAUUGUGACAAAACCCGGUAUCAUCAUAGAUGUGGUGGGCCCCUAAUUCUAUGACAAAAAAUCAUGACAGAAAAUGGGCUUUUCGUCCUGGGUGUGCCGGAGACGCAGCUGCAUGACAUUCUUUGGGCCGUCCAUGACGAAAAAAACUGUGGUAGAAGCGAGGGGGAGGAAAAUUUCGAGGAGUUCCCGGUUAUGGUGGGAGGUCAGGGGCCGAGCGAUGCGCGCUUCUCUCGUACACGUACGCGCGUGUGUGCGAGGCGUUGGCUCUAACUGAACCCGAGCGAUUGCACUGCAGGCUAUGCGUUACUGAACCCGAGCGAUCGAUCGAUGGCUGUUAACUGGACCCGAUCGAGCGAUUCCUUCGCUACUGCUGCUAACUGAAGCCGAUCGAUGCUGCCUCUGGAUGAAUAGUGAGCAUUGCGGAGGGGGGGGGUUGGAUGAACAGUUCCCGGUGGGGGUGGAUGAACAGGACCCCAUGGUAUUGCCUCUGGAUGAACAGGACCCCGAUCGAUCGAGNNNNNNNNNNNNNNNNNNNNNNNNNNNNNNNNNNNNNNNNNNNNNNNNNNNNNNNNNNNNNNNNNNNNNNNNNNNNNNNNNNNNNNNNNNNNNNNNNNNNNNNNNNNNNNNNNNNNNNNNNNNNNNNNNNNNNNNNNNNNNNNNNNNNNNNNNNNNNNNNNNNNNNNNNNNNNNNNNNNNNNNNNNNNNNNNNNNNNNNNNNNNNNNNNNNNNNNNNNNNNNNNNNNNNNNNNNNNNNNNNNNNNNNNNNNNNNNNNNNNNNNNNNNNNNNNNNNNNNNNNNNNNNNNNNNNNNNNNNNNNNNNNNNNNNNNNNNNNNNNNNNNNNNNNNNNNNNNNNNNNNNNNNNNNNNNNNNNNNNNNNNNNNNNNNNNNNNNNNNNNNNNNNNNNNNNNNNNNNNNNNNNNNNNNNNNNNNNNNNNNNNNNNNNNNNNNNNNNNNNNNNNNNNNNNNNNNNNNNNNNNNNNNNNNNNNNNNNNNNNNNNNNNNNNNNNNNNNNNNNNNNNNNNNNNNNNNNNNNNNNNNNNNNNNNNNNNNNNNNNNNUAUGCGUUACUGAACCCGAGCGAUCGAUCGAUGGCUGUUAACUGGACCCGAUCGAGCGAUUCCUUCGCUACUGCUGCUAACUGAAGCCGAUCGAUGCUGCCUCUGGAUGAAUAGUGAGCAUUGCGGAGGGGGGGGGGUUGGAUGAACAGUUCCCGGUGGGGGUGGAUGAACAGGACCCCAUGGUAUUGCCUCUGGAUGAACAGGACCCCGAUCGAUCGAGCCGGUUGGGGCUGGAUGAACAGGACCCCGUGGAGGGCUGGAUGAACAGGACCACCCCGUGGAGGGCAGGAUGAACAGUAGACGGUGGAGGGCAGGAUGAACAGUAGCCCGUGGAGGGGUGGCUGAACAGGAGCCCGUGGAGAGGGCUUGUUGAACAGUAGCCGGUGGAGUAGCGCGCGGUGGAGGCUGGAUGAACAGGAGCCCGUGGAUAAACAGUCGCAGGUGGAGGCUGGAGGAGGUCGACGGUGGAUGAACAGUAGCUCAUGGAGGCUGGAGGGGGUCGACGGUGGAGAUGAACAGUAUCCUGUGGAGUCCCAUUUUGCGGUACGCCACACCCCUCCCGAUGGACAGGACCCCCGUUUCGACUGUAGCGCUCCAACACAAGUCCGUUUCCUCCGUUUUGCGGUACGCCACACCCCUCCCGAUGAACUUGACCCCGUAUUGACCGUAGGAGAUCCGUUUCCUCCGUUUUGCGGUACGUCAGACCCCUCCCGAUCAACAGGAUCCCGUUUCGAACGUGACCGGUCGAACACAAGGCCGUUUCCUCCGUUUUGCGGUACGCGAGGCCUCGUUUCCAUCGCCUGUUCUGUCCAAGCCCUCCCGAUGAACACGACGCAUUGCGUUGCCUCCCCAUGAACACAACGCAUUCCGUUGCCUCUCCAUGAACACGACAACGACGCUGUUUCUCCGUUUCGACCCAGACAUGUACACAAGCCCUGGCCGUAUGUAUGCGCGAGUAGGCGUUCGAGACUCCGCCCAUAUGUACACAUACGUGGCCGUAUUUUCUUUCUUGCACCCUGGCCGCUGUACGUACAUGUACAUGCUACGUGCGCGCCUCUACUACGACACGUGCGCGCCUCUACAUCCACCAGUAUAUAUGUACGUACACGUUCGCGACCAGAAUGACAACGCUACGUAAGCUUCGACUAGGUGGGUCCCGACUGUCAGGCACUUCCUUGCGUGCGAAGAUGUAGCUGGUGGGUCCCAGCAGUCAGGGGUAAACAUUUUUUUCACGAAAUACGGUGGCCCGUCCGAUGGGUCCCCUCUGUCAGGUGGAGGAAUAAUUAUUUUGCACGUAAUAAGGAGGCACUUCCUUGCUGCGGCCGUGGACCCAACUGUCAGCCUCUCCACGUACAAUCCACGUCCGAUGGAAGCCGUUCCUUGACCACGUUGACCACGCCGCGCCGAGAGCACCAGGGCAUUGGACAACGGAGAGGCCUAGGAAGGGGAAGACGCGGAGCCGGGGAAGACGCGACAGUGGAUGCCCACGCGUAGAGGAGUACGAGGGUUCACUGGUUCGCUGCGGUGUGAGGCUGCCGUCGCCGCAGAAUAACAGGGGGUGUGGAUGAGUAGAGGGAUGGCCUAGCCGGCGGUGGGAGUAGUAGGGGGCGGUGAGGCCUCCGCCGCAUCGCAGCCGGCCACGGGAGGCAGGAGCACGAGGCACGACCGGCGCUGGUUUGGGCGGCUGGAGCAAGAAGACCAGAGGUUGAAGAAGCACUACGGCCGUUGGAUGGACAUUGUACGGUCACUGGAGCUAGAAUCAUGCAUAUUGACUAAGUUGACAAAGCCCUUCGUCCUGUCAACUUAGUAGGCCCACAAGUCAGCCUCCCACCAAGGUGGGUCCUAGCUAGCAGGGGGUAUUCAUUUUUUGUGCGUAAUAAGGAGGCACUUCCGGUGGGUUCGAGCUGACAGCAGGGGGAACGUUUUUUUUCGCGAAAUAUGGUGGCCCGUUGUGUGGGUCCCAACAGUCAGGGGCAAACAUUUUUUUCGCGAUAUACUGGUGGGUGUCCGGUGGGUCCCUGCUGUCAGUUGGAGGAAUAAUUAUUUUCUGCGUAAUAAGGAGGCACUUCCUUGCGGCUGUCGUGGACCCAACUAUCAGCCUCUCCACAUACAGUAUUCUUCCGAUGGAAUUCGGUCGUUGACCACAUUGACCACGCUGCGCCGACAGCACCACGGCGGUGGACGAUGCGGAGCCGGGGAAGACGCGGCAGUGGAUGCCCACGCAGAGAGGAGUAUGAGGGUUCACUGGUUCGGCUGCGCUGCUGUCGCCGCAGAAUAACAGGGGGUGUGGGUGAGUGGAGUGGAGGGAUGGCCUGGCUAGUGGUGGGAGUAGUAUGGGGGCGGUGAGGCCUCCGUGGCAGCACAGCCGACCACGGGAGGCAGGAGCAGGCGGCACGACUGGCGCUGCUUUGGGCGGUUGGAGCAAGAAGACCAGAGGUUGAAGAAGCACUACGACCGUUGGAUGGACAUCGUACGGUCAGUCGAGCUAGAAUCAUGCAUAUUGACUAAGUUGACAAAGCCCUUCGUCCCCGUAAACUUAGUAGGCCCACUAUACUGGGUCCCAGCUAGCAGGGGGAGUAUUCAUUUUUUUUGCUUAAUAAGGAGGCACUUCCUUGCGUGCAAAGAUAUAGCUGGUGGGUCCGAGCUGUCAGCGGCGGUAACAUUUUUUCGUGAAAUACAGAGGCCGUUUCGGUGGGUCCCAGAUGUUAGGUGGAGGAAAUCAUUAUUUUGCACGUAAUAAGGAGGCAUUUCCUUGCGUGCGGCCAUGGACCCAGCUGUCAGCCUCUCCACGUACAGUCCACUUCAGAUGCAUGUCGGUCAUUGACCAUGCUGACCAUGCCAUGCCGAGAGCACCAGGGCGGUGGACGACGGUGAGGCCUAGGAAGGGAACGACACAGAGGUAGGGAAGACCCGGCCGUUGUUUUUGUUUCCCACGCGGAGGGGAGUACGACUAUACGAGUGUUUACUGGUUCGUCUGCCGUCGCUGGAGAAUAACAACAGGUGUGGGUGAGUAGAGGGAUGGCUAGGCCAGCGAUGGGAGUACGAUGGGGCGGUGAGGCAUGCGCGGCAGCAUAACCGGCCGCGGGGAGGAGGGAGCAGGCAGUCCCGCCGGCACUUGUUUGAGCAGCUGGAGCAGGAAGAGCAGAGAUUGAAGAAGCACUACGGCCGUUGGAUGGACAUCCAACAGUAUACAUGCCAUCUGUGGAAAGCAUCAAAUCCGUGGAAAACAACAUACAUCCCAUCUGCCAUUAUUUCAAAUAAUUUACAACCCAUUUGCUAAUUCUUACUGGUUUUUUUGGAGCCCAUAUUCUUUAUGUUAGCAUUACAGCCCAUAUUGUGGCCACAGUUAAAAAAUUAUACGAAAAUAUGCAUAUGUCGGUGUGGUCUGAACUGUUUUUAAUCCCGAAAUUUUGAGUCACAUUCAGACUGAUUUAAAAAAUAAAUGUAUAUCAAUAUUAAAUCGAAUAAAUUGUCCAUGCAUAAAAAUAAAUGCAAUUUAAAAUCUCGAAAUGAAAAAAAAAAUAUUUGAAAAUAAUUGCCGGUUUGAUGUGUUUUAAAAAUGUACAACCCAUUUCUCAUUACUGAUAGGCCAUUUUCUUGGCCAGCCGAAUGAAGCUCUCCUCGUCUUGAAAGAUUUGCAGCCCAACAGGCCUGAUAAAGCGACUUACUUGACAAAUCACAAAAGAACUGAGCUAGCCAUUUUCAGAAAGAAAAAAACUACUAGGCUGGUCUUUGGUAAACAUAAAAGAAAAAGCUGUCUAGACAUGCCAGAGUGUCCUGCACAGCCCAAUUGACACCCUGCUUCCGUCUCAAAAACAAAUUAGAUAAAUGCCACUCCAAUUAUGGCGAUUCGUAAAAAUGCCACUGCAAUUUCCAAACUUUGAAAAAUGCCACUGCAAUUUUUGCAAACUUUGAAAAACGCCACUCCAGACUUCGAAAAAUGCCACUAGAAAUGGCAUGAAAUGGCAUUUUUCAAAGUUUGGAAAUUGCAGUGGCAUUUCUCGGAUGCACCAGAUUUGGAGUGGCAUUUAUCAAAUUAACCCAAAACAAAAAUAACUGGGCGAGCUGCUGGGUCCCUGGUGUCAGCCGCUCGUUGUGCAAUUCUCUCGUUUAUUGACUACGUUGACAAUGGCAUGGGACCCAGAUGUCAGAAAUCCACUAGGAGGAGCUAUUUUUUAUUGGCUUGAAAUAAGGAGGCACUUGCCUGCGUACUGCCAUGACCUUGGCGGGUCCCUACUAUCAUCCUCUCCACGUACAAUCAUCUCCUGAUUGUGUACGCGUCAACUUGCUAGGCCCACAAGUCAGCCUCUAAACCGUGGAGGACAAAUACAACCCAUUUAAAAAAAUAACAGCCCAUUCCAUACGUUCAAACGGAAAGUUCAACAUUCAGAGCAAAGUAACAGGUCUGAUCCACAUAUAGAGUACUGAAUUUCCACGUUGACAACCAUCAUAGCCAAGUUAACUAUCUACUCCCACUAACACUCUAGUAGCAUACAAGUACUAACUUACUCUUAGCUAACUAGACGAUGUCGGUCGCCAUCUGCUGUCCAUGCUAAACGCCGGCACCGGCGUCCUCCGCCUCGCCUCGGACUUGCCAGAGGUGCGAUAGGGCGCGUUGCUCAUGCACGUUGGCCCUUUCCAUGCCGGUGUGGUCCACCGAAGCUUCGACUUCCAAACGGGAAACCCACUUGACGAGCUGGUAGUAAAAAUCAGCGUCGCGAACGCGUGCGUGCCUGACAGCCUCCAGGGCUAUUUGCCGGGCGCCGGCCUCCACGUAGUCGGCCCAGUUGCGGGCGCUCUGCUCGCGACUCAGAGCGUCGGUGCGCUGCUGCUCCAUGUCCCGCUGGUGGCGCAAAUCGGUGAUACACUGCUCCUCCGCCAGGCGGUCACGCUCCAACAACUCCUGCUCCUCCGCCAUGCGGUCGCGCUCCAACAACUCUUCGAUCUCCGCAUUGCCAUCUAAAGACAGAUAGAAUGCCUCCUCCCUCCGUCUGCCUUCCGGUGAAAACCCGAACACUAGUUCCGGCGGUGACCGCCUCCGGCGUCGCCUACGCGGACGGGCGGGGGCAUGGCAGACGUGGCGAGCGACGUCGGGCCGGUGGGGGCUUAUGAGGAUAUGGCGAGUUGGGUCAUGGUGGCACCUGAGAAGGCAGAGAAACAGUACUUAUAGGUAGAAGGUAGCGCGACGGUCAUCGGAAUUCAAUGCGUAAUGGCUUAGCGCGCCAACUUGCCGUGGAAAACUAGAGAAACUGAAAUUAUGACUAUGCCGUCCCGUCCCGUCUGGGUCGCACGCCGGCAUGGUGGUCAAACGAGUGCACGCGAAUCAUCUCCCUCCUUGUCAAUAAUGAUUCCACGGAUUUAAAGCGUAUAUUUUUUUGCAUCAGUUAGCUGCCUUAAUUACGACCGGCUGCAUGCAGGCACUCAGAACCGCUCGCAGGCAGUAUGCGAAGCAGCAUGCAACGAGUCGCAGCCGAGGGCACGCAUGCAGCCACUUAAAUCGCUGGAAUUAAUUAGGCUUAAACUUCUGCAUGCCGUUAAUUAUUGCCAUGCCUUGGUCUUGCUGCUUUGCUCACAGGACUAAUAAAUCCCGGACGGAGGGAGUACCUUGGUUGGUGAGAGGUUUGAAUUAAGCCCUGCAAACCGGAAAGGAGGUACUAGUACGUGCGUGAUCCGCUAUUUAUUCGUGUAGGAUCGAGUAGGUUGUUUCUUGAAUUGAGCCCUGCAAACCGGAAAGGAGGUAGUACGUGCGUGAUCCGCUAUUUAUCCAUGUAGGAUUGAUAGUGUAGCUUGUCAGUUUCUUCAGAGGUAGGCAUUUUUAUCCGUGUAGGAUCGAUAGUGUAGCCUGUCAAUUUCUUCAGAGGUAGGCAUUUUUAUUCAAAAAACUGCCACUUCGCAUCUUGCGUCGCAAAUAAAACUGCCAGGAACACAUUUGUAGGCUAGCUAGUGAUCGAUCAGUAACUUGUAAACACCGAGCAAACAGAAAUAAGUAACUGUUAAUGCAUCUCAAUGAUUCACAGAUCAUAUACAAAUAUGUAGCUCCAAAAGCAAAGAUCAGCCACUUUGGAUCUUGCGUCGCAACUAAAACUAACUAGUACGAUUCCCAUACAUAAGAUCAACAUGUUAAUGCAUCUCGAUGAUUCACAGAUCAUAUACAAAUAUGUAGAUCCAAAAGCAAAGAUCUAGAAAAACAUUUGUUCUUCCUACUAACAUGGAUGCUUCUCUUGGCCAACAUUCAAUACAGACUGAAAGACAAUUUUUUUCGUGAAGUCUACAAUUCCUCUUGCAAACGUAAGUGGUUUCACCAACAGCUGGAACCAUGAGAAUGAACCACACAUGAUGGAGGAACAUCCACUGCAAUAUGAUUUGGUCUUCUCUCGAUCACACGGCGAGACUAUUUUGGGAAUACAAACUUUAACUUAGGCAAAAUGAUGCCCUUUGUAUAAUCAGACCAAAGCAAUGAAGCACCUAGUGUUGGCCAAUAAAUAGUACAGUACUACUUUUCUGCAGUCCAUGAAGUGACUAUCCAGUCUUUCUGUGUCUAUUUUCAAAUGGCACUGCAUGCAGUGACUAUACUAUUCUAUUGUGUAGUUCAACCAAAAUUGCGGGCACUUUGUUUGUUUGCCAAAUAGCAACGGACAGACAUCUCUGUCUGCACAAAUAUCAAGCAGCUAGUAAACAUAUACCACACCUUGUAUUUUCGGUUUAAACAUGUCUCUUCCGCUUAGCAUUUGUCAUGUUCUGCACUGGACAAUUUCAUACAGUUAUGUUUUGCCCUGGACAAUUUCAUACUGAAUUGAUUUGCUGGUUCAGAGCAGAAAUAUAGCGCCUAUUCUUCAUCAGACCAAGGAUAUCCAUGUUCGUAGUGAUGGAAGAGGUGAAAUCGAUACAACCAAAAUUGAGCAUCCAAUCAUUGAAUCCUGUCCUGCACCUCCAAUGUAGGUCCACCCUGCCAAUAAAUUCACAUGCAAACCACUAGUAUUACUAUCUAAUGAUAGUACAAAAAGAGUAGCAAUAUAGUAGCAAACCAUGUAACUUCGUAAUGAACAGCUCAUAGUGCCACCAAUUGGAUAUAAAGGUUUGGAAAAAAACAUGCUCCUAAUGUUGAACCAGUUGGACUUUUUGUGCAGUUCCACUAAAAUCGAGCAUCCCUGUUUGCAUAGAUAUCGAAAGUAUGAUUACUCUAAAAGUGGCACUAGUUGAAGCAUAGACUCACAAAUAUAAGCAUUCCAAUUUCUUAAUGGGAAAAGGUAGCAAGACUGUUUCUAACCACCUGUUUGAAGGAAUAAAUAAAGCAACAUUGGCUGAUGUCAGGAAGGCAUACAUAGUUUUUUCUAGAAAAGUGAGCCAUUCCUGACCUUUCCUCUUCUUUUAAGCAAAUUUUGUGUAGGUCUACUAAAAUAAAAUUCCAUCACCGCCUUGACAAUUCAUUAACACUGUACAAAAGGAAAUGACUUAACAUUACAUCAUGAUGUCAGGUAUGUAGUCGAUAGGCAUUAGAGACAAACAUACAAACCUCCUCAAGAGAACAGCCGAAGGAGGUGCCCACUCUUGACCUUUCCUCUUGUCUUCAUAAUUGUCUGUGCAGUUUAACCAAAAUAAAAUGACAUCAACGCCUUGGCAUUUUGGUGACAUUGUACAAAAAAAAUUAACUUAUCUCAUGAAAGUGAGGUAUGUAAUCUAUAAGCAUUAACAGUGCAAAAAUCUGAAGGUAGUAACAAGUUUCAUCGUUGGUAUACUGGCUGUGCAACAGCAUUAGAAUGCCUUAGUAGAAAAAUCUUUAAUACAUCCAUAAUCAAUAGCUAACCCUGAAAUAAUCCAGUGACAUUAAAUGACACUGCUUAAAUUUAUGGGUGGCAUUAGACUGAGAGCGGCAUUAGUUAAAUGUGGCAUCACUUUAGCAGUAGCAUUGCUUGACUUGACUGCUGGCGUUAUACUAAUAGCAAAAAAAGUGGCAAUAAGAGCAUGGGAGGCCCAUUCGUACAAUGGGCGCACCAGUACGAUGUACCUCCAUGGACGCAGAGUGGUGAGGGAGGUAUGGUUGCCCAGAGCAACAAAUAUCCAGGCAUCAUAUAUGGAUUACGUCCCAUUUUUGUUCUCUUUAGCCACCUUUUUCCUAUGCGAGGACAACAAACCGAUCGACUUGGUCAUUCUCUAUUGCGUUGUCAUGCCUUUCUACCCUUCUUCAACCAAGAGACACGAGACUCGUUCCUUAGCUACUGAUUUUCCCCUUUUCAACCUAGAUGCGGGUUCGAUGCCUACUCUCUUGGACAGUACAGUCUCCCUUCCUUUCCUUAUUCAACCCAGACAUGGAUUAGUCUGCAUGAAGUAGGGUUUCCUUUAAUAGUGCAAAUUAUGGUUUUCGUCUGCGUGGCCAGCAGAGCAGAGGAUAGCAAAUUGGGAAGAUGGUGGAGUGGAAAAAGAUCCACAUGCAACGACGUGGCAGAUGGGGCAAUAGAACAAGGUUAUGGUUUGAAAAGAGGUAGCAUACUUGAGGGUUGGUGGGAAGUGGCUUUGCUCGUGGUUGUCGUCCUCCGCACACACUACGGCAACAAGCUUGGGGACGGAGGCCAUCCCGCGCGGGCGCUAGGUCUGAGAGGAUGGCCUUGUCAUCAGUGCGUGACCUCGCUCGCUUACGACGAGUGCGUCAACGCUGCACGUCCUUUUCUUCCCCGGCGGAUCUGUGACCACCGGUGAGGAGGGAGAGAGGGCCCGUCUAUUUUAGAUCUGGAGAGAGGGUGGUAGUGUGAGAAGCAAGUGGGCACCCCUUAGCAAGAAAGCGCUCAAGCUCCAGCCUAUAUAUCUUUUUUAUACUACUAGUACUGGAGGUGGAGUAGUGGUAGAGUAGUUUAUAUUUUCUCCGCGUACAGUACCAGUUAGUCGUGCUUCAAAACUGAUCAACACGCCAUUAAAAAAUAAAGGUCGAUAACUAAUGCGGCACCUCGGGCCAACGCGGCCAAAUCACAUUUUGCACGAGAAAUUACACACCAUGUUUCGUUGACAUGUGGUCCCGUUCCAACAUAUCAGUGAGACGACAGCAAGUAGUAGGAGUAUUUCCGAACGGACGUGUAGGCCGAGGUGCCUCUUCGUGAACCGUGGCAAACUCGCAACCGUUCACCGACUCUUCACCUUUCCCUCUUGAUUUGGAACUGCUGUCGCACGCUCUUCCUCUCCCACCUCCAUUUUCCUUCAGCCCUUCACCCUUUCUUCUGCCAUUGUUCGAUCGCCUUCUCCAUGGAGGGAACAGGCCGUAAACGACCCUGUUAUUCUUACCCCGAUCUAAAAUAUGACGUGGUGGAGGAACUCAUUGAUCGGUGCGACGUCAUCACCUCGGCUAGCAUGGCAGGUUCGUUCAAGCCCAUUCUCGACUCAACUAAUAACAUCAUUACAAAGAACCCAAGAGUCAAGGAGCGGUUUGAUCUCCCCUAUCUUCUUCGCCGCGACCUUGAUGACUGGCAUCGGCACGACGGAGGCCUCGCCCUGUGCCAGUUGAUGCCGCUUGAUAAUGAUACGUAUGAUGUUAAGAUGCCAUCGUUUGAGGGCAAGGCUUGGGCGAGCGCAAAUGGAGAUUGGGUUGUUUACAUUGGGUCCAACUGCGAGUGGGAACUUGUGAAUGUGUACACUCGUGACCGGGUUCCACUUCCAAAAAUCUCAGCAGACUGCCCAGAGGUUGAGCACACCGGUAUUGUACGCACGUUCAAAUACGAUCAUGGUGACUGUCUUCUAUGGAAGAUAGCAAUUUUGCCGAAUUCGCAACCGCUCUUGGAAUUACAACAACUAUCAAGUUGUUGCUAUCUUCGACAAGCUUGUUGCCGUCCUUCGUGGUUCGACUCGAUGGAUAUUGCUCAAAAAUCAUUUUCUGUACACGGAUGAGUACUGUGAUGCAAUUCAAUACGAGGGCCUUGUGUUUGCUACCACCACUCGUGGCACUGUUUUUGAAUGGGAUCCUCGUAGUUUCGGUACAUUUGUCUUCCACCAUAAUAUUUAUAAUUGUUUCAUCCACAUGCAUGUGGGUUAGCAAGUUUCCCUUUACUAAUUAACCUUCUUCUUGUGUUUCCAAGGUCCUGUGAACAUCCCACCACCUAUACUUGAAAAAAUUUAUAACCAAGGGGGAGAUGAUGAUGGUGACGAUCACAAGCAUGAGGAUGAGCAGAACCCAUAUACUCAGUGGCGCCUGGCAACUAAUUCCGAUGGAUCACCUCUUCUUGUGUGUAUACAUCCCACUGAUGAUGUUACUACGAAGGAAGCAGGUGUAGUCUCUCAUGGUCGCACUCUCCAGACCUAUUCCAACACCCGUUGCAUGGUAUUCGGGAUGGAUACUAGUGUGCUAGUGCCAACUCCUUCUCCCUGGUACAGAACUGAUAGUCUUGGAGAAAACUCGCUCUUCCUUGGACAAAACUAUCUGAUGAUGGUGAAAGGCGAUCCAACUGCUGUUGACACAACGUUAACAGUACCAUUUAUGAGAAGCAACUGUGUAUAUACCUCGGACAUUUGGGUGGUUCCCUACCCUGGUACUGAUAUAGUAGCCCGCUUUAGCCUGGAUGAUCAGUCCUAUGUUGGUUUCCAGAUCGACAAUCGAUGGCCCGUCCCAGAGAAUCACUUGUGGUUCAAAGCAAGCGUUUCAACGCCGAGGAAUGGUUGAGUUGAAGUUCAUUUCAUUGCUUGUUAUUUGUUGUGUGGUGAAAACUUUAGUAUUUAUAAUGUAUCCUCGUUGUCGAUGUGGGUUGAUGACCUGUUGUAUGUAAUAAAAUGAUAUGCCUAUGAUAAACUUACUAAAUUGAUGAAUGGCUUUCGAGUCGCUUCUCUGAGUGAGUGGUGCGACGAGGCAAAAAAAUAUUUUCCGAAUACAUAAUUGUACGUGCAUUGCAACAGGUUAUCGGAUGAGGCCAAUCAACAAUAGUAGUACACUAUUUGUACUAGCUUCACAUGCUUCGCGCGUCAGGCGGGUGUUUUUACUGUAGCCAUAUGUUAAUGUGUUCGCUGUACGUAACCAGCACCUCGAAUCCUUGAUACUACUAGUAUAUAGUAGGAGUAAGUAGUAGGAGUAGUAGCAUGGCAUGGGCCAGAACAAGCAUUCAUGUCCAGGAGUACGGCACACGCCACCACCACGACAUCCAUCUGACACCAUAUUAUUUCUUGGAGUCCGUGCUAGAGCAAUCUCUUCAACCUCGUCGUUUCUCUAACUUCAGCCAUCGCGCGGCAGGCGAGGUGGGGGUUUGCCGAUAGUCGGUUUCCUUAACUACGGUCCCACUUGUAAGGCCAACUCCAACGCACGACCCCAAAUGCACCUCCGUUUUGCACGAACUCCAACAAUUAUUUUGACUAGAAAAGCAAGACCAAAGAAAACAAGAACCACAAGAAUACAUUUUACUACUCCUGUAUGUUGGAUUAGUGCCUUCUCGAUGCAUUCAUUGUUGAUCUGUGGAGGCUCGAUCUUGCGUCUGUGCUAGCUAAAAGUGAUAGAACAUCUACUAAAUUGCGCUCUAUCAGUAUAUGGAUGUACUCUUCUUCCCAAUACAAAAACUUGCAUCCAUUCUACUCCCUCCGUUGCACAAUACAUGCCUUCUAUUUGUCAAAAUAUAUAUGUAUCUAGACAUGUCUUACUUUAUAGGUACAUCCAUUUUUGGACAAAUGGAAGUCAAGUAUUUUGGAACGGAGGGAGUACAUAAUAAAUUUUUUAAGUUAGCACAACUAGUCUAAUCCGAGCGCAGAACCGAAGAUUUGGUCGGGUUCUUCCUCCUUUUGCCGACACGUGGGACAUCCAGCAUCCAGGUCGUGUCAUGAAAGAAAAUAUAGUGGUAGUUGAAGCCACGAGAUGUGCAUCUUGGGUUAAACUGUAAAUAGAAUCUUACUACUCUUGAGUAACUCCAAAAGCGGCCACCAAAGAUCUUUAUUGGAUUUGUUUUUCAUCACCAGCACGUCGAGGUGAAAGAUGUGUAGGUUCAGUGGGUCCUCUUGCAUUUUCACAGACAUGUGGGGCCGCAUGUGAUCAAAUAGACGAUGGGCUCCGUGCAUCCGCUGGCUGGCUGAGAAGAGAGAUAGAGGAGGGCUGAGCAUGGACUGCAGGAAAUUUGUUCUACGUACCUCGAUAUAGGCUCGAUAUAGUGGGGUGGCAUGGGCCAUAACUAGCAUUCGCGUCUAGCAGUAUGGCACACGCCACCCACACGAGUCCCAUCCGACACCAAUUUUCUUGGAGUCCAUGCUACAACCAUCUCUUCUCCCUCCCGUUUUCUCCGCCAUCGCGCGGUGGGCGGGGUGGGGGUUUACCGGUAGUCGGUUUGCUCAACCGCGGUCCCUCUUGUAAGUGAAAAUGCAACACCGCACGCAUUCCCGCUUGAGCGGCGUGCCGGACCAACCGUGUGGGGGUGCGACGCGAACACGACAGGCUUUUCCUUUUGAACUCAUAACUUGUAAAAUUUGGUUCUGCUCCAUGGCGCAACCGAUAGAUAGAAAAUACAGAUUUUGCCUAGAGUAAUGAGAAGUUUGGUUCUGGCACCGUUCAUGCAUGGAGUACGUACGAAAAUUAUGAAGUUGAUGCGAAAGGUAAGAUAAUUAUUGUAGUAUCAUAUACUACUACAUGGAUUUGACGGAAAGAUAAAAAUACAUACGGAUCCAUCAACGUUCAACGACAUCCUCAUGCCCUAGUGCGCCGGUCACCAACCGAUGUGUGAGGAGCAGCGGCGUUGGCGGCGAGCUCAACGUGCUUCUGAACAGUGCCGUCCAAGGUUGCCCUGCCGCUCCAAGAAGGCCAGGAUCCUAUCGUCCUCCUCUUGCAUGUAGUAGUCCUUGUGGACGAUUUGCGCAUAGACGUGGGUGAUUAUGUCAAUGGUGUCUUGCUGCGCCAGGUGCUGCGCGGCGAGCGCGACCUCGAGGUGGACAUUCUCCGGCGCGACGACGGGUAGUCGCAGGGCCACCAGUGCAUCUAAGAGGUUGUUACCAUAGUUGCCGUUGAGGGUGGCGGGCAUCGCAGAGCCUGGGCGCAUCGGCUGGAGGCUUACGUCAAAGUCGUCCACAUGCUUUUUGACGAUGGUGAACUUGUCGAGGAAACCAACGAGGACCUCAUCGAACAAGGAGACGAAGUUAUCGUCCAAGAGGCCCCUCUCCCUGGCGGCCUCAAGAAAUACUACCUGGAGACGUUCCUCGGUGCCGGGCGCAGGUUAGAAGUCAAACUUUGGAAACUUUGAUCAGGUUUACGCAAAUGUUAUUUAUAUCUACAAUACCAAUGAUACAUCAUACAAAACUACAUCUCAUGGUGAAUCUAAUGGUAUAUGUUUGCCGUACUAGAUGUAAUUCUUUUUCUCCACGUACAUGGUCAAACUUUGUGAUGUUUGACUUUUCAAUAAAUCUAUAUGCUAUGGACCGAGGAGAGUGCCUUAGUUGAGACAGAUCAAGUGCGUGUGAAGGAGAAUGAGUAAGUGUGCAAAAAGAGUAUGUGUGUGAAAGAGAAAGUGACAACAAACGAUAAAUUAGAGAGAGUGUGUGUUUUUUCGUUUCUUAUGCGAACAUAUCACGCAUGCAUCUCCGAGAUGAAAAAGCGAGGCGAGGAGAUACACGAAGAUAGCUAGUGUGUGAUUGUUUGCAACGGAGAGAGACACCCCUGUAGCACAUGUCCAAUAGAGGUGUGGACAACAAGGAACAAAUGUCGAGAGGGACACAUGGAUGGCAUGGGCGCAUGGGGAGGGAGAGAGGGUGUGUUUGUGAUAGAGAGAUCCCGUCGAGAUCGUGAGGGGACUAUAUGGGUGGGAGAUCGAGGGAGUGCGUGCGCGAUAGAAAGAUGCCCUGGGAGAAAUCGAGAUAGACCAUGCACAUGUUUGUGAUGGAGACUAAGAUUAGCUAGUCAUAUACAUAUAGGGGGGACUGCGUGUGCCUACAAUUGAGUGAGAGACCAUCAUACUUGGCUAGCUGGGCAUGAGAUUUUGUGCGUGCGUGCGUGUGAGAUGGAGAGAGAACGAGGGGGAGAGAUAGAGUUUUAGAUGGGCCUAUCGAGUGCGAGUGAGAUAUGCAUGUGUAUGUUUGACCCAGGUGGAUGGAGAGUUUGAGAGAGGGGGGGGGGAGAGCUUCGAGACGACAUUGUGGUGCGUGAGAGAGUUACAGGCAAAGAGCCAAGGAAUCUGUAUGCGUACGAUGAGUGCACCCAAGAUAUCUAGCUUGGACUAGCUAGAGUAUCAUACAUAGUGUGCGAGAGAGACCUAUAGAUGGUGUAUAUAUGCAUGCGAACUAGAAAGACCCCCCCACACACAAAGAGAGAGAGAGAUGGAGAGAAAGGGAGAGGGACGAACAAGGUUUUUGUGUCAGAUGCGUGCGACAGAAUUGAAGAUUGUCGGCGAGAGAGAGAGAGAGAGAGAUAGAGAGAGAGAGAGAGAGAGAGAGAGAGAGAGAGAGAGAGAACAUGAGUCCGGGAGAUGGGGAGGUCGCGUUUUAUGCAUUAAAGACUGAUAUAAACCAUGUUUCGAUAUAAACUUGCAUUCAAAUAUUUAAAUUGGAGAACAUGUUGUCUGUAAUCCACACAUGAACGGAUAUAUGCGUAUAUCAAACAAGUUCAUUAAUUUGACUUUCAACAUGUUCAUGGAGUACUAUAAUACUGUACAACAUGCUACUCGAUUGAGGUGUUCAAUUUUGGAUUUAGUUCACUAUUUUGACCUACUGAACGAGCUAUUUCAUUGAAUCGAGAUAUUUCAUUUUGGGUUUGAUUCGCGUUUUUGAGUGGGUCAACUAUUUGUCUUAUAGUAAAUCGCUAGCAACGAGCAUGUAAAAACACAUUACUCCCGAGCAUCAUCUCUCCAUCUAAAAAAGAAGUGGCAAGCUAAUAUUUCAAAAUUUGAUCCGAAUCGACUUGGUAAGGUAGACGUGGAUGCUCAUUCUCCCAAAAUUUGAACGAACCGUUAAACAUCCUCUCUGCUCGGUGGAAUUGGCCCGAGCAAAUAAAUGGGAGACGCGAAAUUAUCGUCCUAUGUGGGACACGCAUCAAUUGGCCCGUUGUACAUCGAGGGUAGGUUCGUAACUUCAUCCAAGCGCGCCUUCUCCUUGGCCGAAAUGACAUGUGCCGAAUAAUUCAUAAACCAUGGUCGGCAAAACACGCUCUCCUCGCCCGAAAUAGCUCGCGCCCACUAUUUCAAAACACACUCUCCUCGCCCGAAUUCGCUCGCGCCCACUAUAGUUCAAAACACGCUCUCCUCGCCCGAAAUCGCUCCCGCCCAGAGAAGCAAAGUUACUCUACUAUCCCCGACCCUCAGUACACAGACCCAAGCCGAGAAGCCUAUAGGCAAGGGUAGAACUGUAACUUCCCCUCACAUUUCAGACAAAUGCGUCCGUAAGACAUGGUUCCACUCCCCUCCCAAUUUCCCCCGCCCGCCCCCAUUCAUACCUCGUGAGCGCCAAAUCACCUUCUCCCUGGGAAGCUCCCUUCUCCCGAGCCGCGAAACCUCAGCCCCACCUCCAUGGCGCCCCCACCACACCAAUUUCACAGGCUCCCUCCUCCUUAAUGCCGGAGAUGCUGUCCAUUUGCCGUCGUGCACUGGGCCGUGUGCCUCUUACUCCGUGCUGGUGGUGCUGCCUCGACAACGGCCGCGUGAACUGUACCGGAGCCGAUUCACCCCUGCUGUUGUUCACGGCGCCGGAGCGGCUCCAACUUUGGAUCCGUCCAGAGUCCUGGCGCUGCUUCGGUGUAGCCUCGACCGUCGUGACAUCGCUAUUUCCCUGCCGCCGGUCGCCACCGCAACCGCGCCGGCCUCACCGACUCGGCAGCUGGACCUGCCUACUUCACCAUGCCACCAGAUAGGUCACACCCUCAUCUCAAAUCACUUUAUUUAGGCGUCCGUUGUCUGAAUUUUUAUUCUGGGCCAAUCGAUUUGCAAUGGGAAGCAGCACCCCUCGAGGCGGCGGAGCUCCUAGGCCGCCGGUUGGCUGGUGUCUAACGUAAGGGUGCGGGGCCGCAAGUUCGCCGUGGAAGCAGCGCUUAGAUGGCUAUCUUUUAGAGUUGCGUGGGUUGAAGGUACUGCCGCCGCCGGAUCUGGAUGACGGGGAGUCUUUGUGGAUUGGCCCGGGGGCGGCGCAACCAUGGCAGUGCGGUGGGGUGGGGAGCAGGGUUUUGGCCGGGGCCACGGACGGCGAAGGCAGGCUGCUGUGCCGUUGGUCGCUGGCUCUUUGGGGAAGAUUCCGAACAGUGUCAGCCGGGAGGCACAAGAUGGCCAGCCAUCCGGCGUAGAUCGGACAGUACGAAAAUAAAAUAAAAUCGGGUGACCCCAAUUUAGUCUUCAGUCAACAGACAGGUGACCACUCUCGUAGCUUGCUGUUGAUCUCUUGGUGUAUUUCUUCAGAUCAAAGAGAUAUGUCGUUCUUAACAUUAUGCGUUAUCUGCAUCUUCAGACACACCGUCUUCCGACUCACCGCAGCUGCUCCAACAAGGGAUGCAUACACCACAAGGGAGCUAUAGUCCCCACUCAACAGUUCCCUGCAUCGAAUGCGCGUGCCCGACAUGCACAGCCACAACAACUGCAGGGCCAUCGACAAGUCAGCACAUGAUGCUCACUCCUAUGGAUGGCAGCCAGAUAGGUUGUACCCUCAUCUUACUUGUGUGCAACAUUUAUGGCUUUGUUAUUCAUCUAAGCAUGGAAAAUAGAUCAUCACAUUUCACUGUAUAUUCAUGCUGAUCUCUUACGGGUCUUGUUCAGGAGUUAACGCUAUUCCAUAGUUCAGCUAAGAUACUUGUUCUUUAGGUAACACUGUUCCAUAGUUAUCAUCCAUCAGCCAAUGCUAUUCCACAGGCUGGUGAUUAUAGUAUUAUACCACUUCUAGUAUUUCCUAUGUUGUUCUUUAAUACUUUUGUGUGCCAUCUAGUUAAUCUCGAGUACAAACGAUACAUAUUCUGCAGCUUUCAUCUGUGUUCUCCCUUUAGUUUAUGAGACCUGUUGCUUCUAGUUAACCUCAAUCCUACUAUUUAUGCCAUCUCCUACAUGCACUCAUUACAUAAAUCUAACUAGUUGUCUUCCAUGCAUGUCAGAUAUAAUUGCACACACUGAUAUAUCCACAAGAACCUCACAGAGCAAUGUAAAUGCCAAUAAACUUGAUGUCAAUGAUACCCAAUAUGAUGGAACAUGUAAAGGCAGCUCUUCAGAAGACUUGCAGGAAGAUGAUGAAUCCUCUUCACCCCACAAGGUCCUUGCUCUAACUUGGCCUAUGAUAUGGGUACAACAUGCAUAUAAGGUCCUGGAGUGUAUCUACUCUGUUGCAAUGCCAUGUGCUUAGCAUGCUGAUCAUGCAUGUAAAUAUGUCACGCCUUCCUGUUUUUCAGUACCUAUUCCAUUCAUGAUAACAUGUUUUCAAAUUCAAGUACUGUCAUUCUACUCUAUCGCAAUGCCAUCUGCUUAAUUUGGACAUCAUGCUUCUGAAUAUCUUAUGCAUUGUUAUUCAUCAGUAUGUACUUCAUCUGUCUACCCUACCAUGUUUUUUUACAUUGAAGUGCUGUUCUAGUGCUCUGUUGCAAUGCCAUCUUAUUUUCCCAAUCAUACACGUGUAUGUUGCCUUAGUUAUUUCUGUAUGUAUUCCGCUAGCAUACAGUUUUACAUUCAACUAGUGUUUUUUUUGCUGUGUUGCCCUGUCGUAUCCCUAGCUCUUACACCAUACUCCCUUCGUCCGAAUUACAUGUUGCCGAAAUGCAUAAAAAAGGAUGUAUCUAGAACUGAAAUACGCCUAGACCUAUCCAUUUUUUUCCGGAUGGAGGGAAUACAUGUCAAUAUGUCAUGCCUUUCUAUUCUUCAGUACCUAUUCCAUCUCUCUGCUACCGCAUCUUUUAUAAUUAAAACACCAUUCUUCUAUACAAGGCAUGCAAGGGGAAGACGACUAUGUUAGAAUCUGAAGGGUUACAAACAAGGACUUUGCAAAAGAUCCAAAUGCUAGGAGAUAAUAAACCAACUCCAAUUUUUAUAGAUACUGCUCCAGCAUAGAGAAACCCAACUCCUACUGAUAAUAAGCAGAUUCCAGUGGCCAAAGAACUAGUCCGCUCCAGUCCAGCAAAAAUAUGUCAACUCAAUUCUAAGAAGCGUGUGCGUAUCCUUGCAUCAUGAAAUUUUAUAGCAUGCUGAUCAUAUUUUCUACAUGUUUCUUACCCAUCUCUCUUUUAGAAAAUAAGCUUAACAGAUAGAAGAUUUUCUGCAAUGGUAUCGUUUAUGAGGAAAGAUUCUUGCAUGAAUUCUCUGUGCUCCAAUGUAGAUGUAAGUACCUGCUAUAUAUCACUAUAUUUUUAUAUCAGCAUGUAUUUUGUUCAUCGGCGUGAAUCCAACCUUUAUAUGAUCUAAAUUUAGUUGUAGCAAAAUGUAUGAUUAAAGGCCACAAUGUUGAUUUUUGCAAGGAAAACUGCCUGGUAGUUUUGCAUCCUGAGCUGCAUGAGUGUACUAUCUCAUAUCAGUGGGUUUGAAUACUUUGGUUCUGCAGUGGGUUUUUAGUGUUUUUUACUGUGUUGUCCUGUCGUAUCCCUGGCUCUUACACCAUACUCCCUCCCUCCGGAUUAAAUGUCGCAGAAAUGGAUAAAACUGGAUGUAUCUAGAACUGAAAUACGCCUAGACCCAUCCAUUUAUUUCCGGAUGGAGUGAAUACAUGUCAAUAUGUCAUGCCUUUCUAUUUUUAGUACCUAUUCCGUCUCUGCUGUAGCAUGUUUUAUAACUGAAUCACCAUUCUUCUAUAUAAGGCAUGCAAGGGGAAGACGGCUAUGUUAGAAUCUAAAGGGUUACAAACCAGGUCUUUGCAAAAGAUCCAAACGCCAGGAGAUAAUAAACCAACUCCAUUUUUCAUAGAUACUGCUCCAGCACAGAGAAACCCAACUCCCACUGAUAAUAAGCAGAUUCCAGUGGCCAAAGAACUAGUCCGUUCCAGUCCAGCAAAAGAAUGUCAACUCCAUUCUAAGAAGCGUGUGUGUAUCCUCGCAUCAUGAAAUUUUAUAGCAUUCUGAUAAUAUUUUCUACAUGUUUCUUACCCGUCUCUCUUUUAGAAAAUAAGGUUAAACGACACAAGACUUCCUCCAUUGGGAUCGUAUUCGAGGAAAAUAUCUUGCAGGAAUUCUCUGUGCUCCAGUGAUGAUGUAAGUACCUGUUGUAUAUCACUAUAUAUUUACAUCAGCAUGUAUUUUGUUAAUCGGCAUGAAUCUAACCUUUAUCUGAUCUAAAAUUAGUUGUAGCAAAAAUGUUAAAGGCGCCAAUGUUGAUUUUUCUAAGGAAAACUGCCUGGUAGUUUUGCGUACUGAGCUGCAUGAAUGUGCUAUCUCAUAUCACGCACAUUACUGAAUUGUAGUGCUUCUCUGGUUGCCCAUUCAUUCAUUGUGUCAAUGUUGCUUUCGUAUUACCUUACCUGGCUGAUGAAAGUUGUGCCAUAUUGUGUUAAUUUGGUGUAGGCUAGUUGCCCAAACGUUCAUUGUGUCAAUGUUGCUUUCCUAUUAUCUGACUUGCCCAAUGAUAGCAAUGCUAGUGUGUUAAUUUUGUGCAGGCUACUGAAGAUAAGAAGAAAAACUCUGAAAACAUCAGGGCAACCCCAUUGUUUCUUUCUAGUAAAUCUAGGCCAGGUAAUAUGGCAAUAACUCAUGAUUAAUCUGUUUGGUUCCCAUCCUAAUUUAUGUUAUGAUGCAGUGGUCAAGACACUCUCCAAUAUCAAUAAUACAAGCCUGCCAAAAUCGCCAUCUGAAUCUGUUCAGUAUCCUUUGUCUCGAAUGCAACGGAAUAAAUGUAUGUUUAUGAACCAAUUAAUGGCUGAAGUAAUGAUGGAAAUGGUGGAUGAAGCAGAGGUGCAGAGUCGUGUGACACAACAACUAAUCAAUGUUUUCAGAGACAGUGUGACAAAGCAGCAAGAACUUGCCCACAUGCUUAUGGGCGUCAUCUGUGCUGAGGUUGCAGAUUGUGAUGUUGUAGAUGGUUAGGUUCUACUCAUUUAUUUGCAUUGGCAUCAAUCUUUGAUUGCCCAGUGGAUGUAAUUUCAUGUAAUAUAUUCUGGAUGUGCAACGUUAUUCCCUGUAUGCCGUACUUUUGCUCGUCGUAAUGGGCUCAAAUUAUCUAAUUUGGCCUAAAGACAUGAACGAACUUUAGUGGGCCCAUUAAGUUAAUGGGCCGUUACUAGGCCGAAAGUUAAUGGUCGGCCCUCUUACCUCCCGGGUUGUUAAUAGGCCGACAUCGAAGCGGGCAACAGGUGGCCCCAAUUUAUUUCAUGGGCCGUUAACAGGCCGUUACUAAGUUUGGGCUACAUAUGGCCCAACUAUACUAUAGGCCUUUAGCAGGCCGAAAGAGACAGCAGGCUUGUAUUGGACCAUGAAGAGCAUGGGCCGAUAAGAGGCCGAAAGUCAGGUCAUAUUGUAAACGACCCAAUUGUGUUGUGGGCCUUUAGUAGGCCGAAAGAGAAACCAGACUGGUAUUGGACCAUGAAGGGCAUGGGCCGUUAAGAGGCCAAAACUAAGGUCCGACUACAAAUGGCCCAACUCAUUUAUGGCCCGUUAACAGGCCGAAAGGCACACAGGGCCGGGAAUUGGCCCAACACUUAAAUGUGUUGCUAAAAGGCCAAAACUCAGGUCCGACUACAAUUGGCCCAACUGAUUUAUGGGCCGUUGUCGGUGUUAGAACCGGCGGAUCUUGGUAGGGGGUCCCGAACUGUGCGUCUAGGCGGAUGGUAACAGGAGGCAGGGGACACGAUGUUUUACCCAGGUUCGGGCCCACUCGAUGGAGGUAAAACCCUACGUCCUGCUUGAUUAAUAUUGAUGAUAUGGGUAGUACAAGAGUAGAUCUACCACGAGAUCGGAGAGGCUAAACCCUAGAAGCUAGCCUAUGGUAUGAUUGUAUGUUGUCCUACGGACUAAAACCCUCCGGUUUAUAUAGACACCGAAGGGGCUAGGGUUACACAAGGUCGGUUACAAAGGAGGAGAUAUACAUAUCCAUAUUGUCUAGCUUGCCUUCCACGCCAAGUAGAGUCCCAUCCGGACACGAGACGAAGUCUUCAAUCUUGUAUCUUCAUAGUCCAACAGUCCGACCAAAGGUUAUAGUCCGGCUGUCCAGAUACCCCCUAAUCCAGGACUCCCUCAGUAGCCCCUGAACCAGGCUUCAAUGACGAUGAGUCCGGCGCGCAGUAUUGUCUUCGGCAUUGCAAGGCGGGUUCCUCCUCCGAAUACACCACGGAAGAAUUUGAAUACAAGGAUAGUGUCCGACCCUGCAAAAUAAGUUCCACAUUCCACCGUAGAGAGAAUAAUAUUUCCACAAAUCUAAUCUACUGACUUGCUUUGGGAACAUGACGUUAUGCCAUGGCCCGGUGAUUAUUCGAACCGUUUCCUUUUACUAGCCCCGCACAUAACGCGAGGCAGUUUUUUGACAUGUCUUGUCAAAGCAGAGAUCGUGUCCCCUUAUCACGGGAUUCUAAUCAAUACGGGCGUGGGUAACCCAACCGCGCCAUCGAUUAUGGUGCUUGGGGGAUAAGCGAGUUUUACCAGGCUAGUGGGGACGCAUAGUUUCGUUCGCCCAUAUAAAGGGAUAAGGAUUCACCUUUUCAUCCACGCCUUAUUCCUCCUUUGCUCAUCCAUUUUCGCACACUCGAGCUCCAGCGCCCAAGUCCGCAUUUCUCACCUCGACCUUCCCCAACCAUGUACGGAGCGGGAGGCAAGUGGAUGGUCUCCUCCGUCAUGGAGGGACACAUCAAGAAGCUGAGGAGAGCUGGAUACCCGCCCGACGACAUCGCGCACCGGCUCCCAGAUGAGGGGCAACUCAUCCCCACCCCCAGGCCCCAUGAGAGGGUAGUGUUCCUUACCCAUUUCCUCCGCGGACUGGGAUUCCCUCUCCACCCAUUUGUCUGGGGGCUCAUGUUCUACUACGGCCUGGAUUUCCAUGAUCUGGCCCCGAACUUUAUCCUCAACAUCUCGGCAUUUAUUGUCGUGUGCGAGGCCUUCCUCCGCAUCAAGCCUCACUUCGGCUUAUGGCUGAAGACCGUCAAUGUCAAGCUGAAGGUAGUGAGCGGCCGCCAGGCGGAGUGCGGAGGCGCCAUGGUGGGUAAGAUGCCCAACGUCACAUGUCUCGAGGGCUCCUUCGUGCAGACCAUAAAGGGGUGGCAAUCGGGGUGGUUCUACAUCACUGAGCCACGUGACCCUAAAUGGGCAGCGGCCCCGAGUUCCGAUCUGGCAUCCCCACGCGGCUCAUCUCCUGGCAAGAGAAGGGCAUGUCCUGGGGUAGUUCGGGAGAGCUGACCGGAUUCAAAACAUGUAUUCAAAACAUGGUGAACAAGAAGCUCAAACUCGUCAACGUAGUCCAGGUCAUGCUCAUCCGCCAGAUCCUCCCAUGCCAACAACGGGCUUUCAACUUGUGGGAGUUCGACCCGGCCCAACACCGAACUCUGAACAGGCUCUUCGACACAACUCACGAGGAUGCCUGGAAGGUGCUAUUCAAGGGUGCCGAGGUUCCCCCUCCCACUACCGAGGAUCGCGGAUUCUGCGUGAAGCGCCAAGCCAGCGCGGUAAGCUAUUUUACCCCUCACAGGAUACUUGUUUUUCAUAGUUUGACUCUAUGCGGGAUCUAAGCUCCCGUACCUUUGACAGGACUGGCAGGAGACGGCCGGACAGAUUGACUGUUCGGCUCCUUUGCCCGAAGGCCCAGCCGACGCUCUUCUGACGAAGAUGCUGACUCCAGCUCCUUACAAGGUGCCGAAGAAGACCAAGAAGGCCAAGGGAACCCGAAAGAGUUCCCGAUGCCAGGCGUCAUCGGAUUCAUCGUCUGAUGACUCUGCGCCACACUCCUCCCCCGAAGACAAGGAGGAAGAAGAAGAUGCUCCCCCUUCAGUUGGGGGAGACAAGAAAAGGAAGGCCGCCCCAACUGGGGAGGCCGAAGGGUCCAAGAAGGGAAGGACUCUCCUUCCGGACAAUUCCACAACCGCCGCCGAAGGAGAAGACGAGUGGUUGCCCACGGCCAAGCCCCUGGGGAGGUCAUAAGUAUUCGGAUAGCAGAGUAACUCAUAGCAUUCCUUUGUCGCACUGCUUCCCCUAACACCGAAUAUGAUUAUGCAGGCCGCCACGAGCCCGUAUCGAUGUAUCGUCGGACGGCUCCCUGGGCUCGUCAGAUAUGGAUAGCGAUCCACUUCAGACCGCCACCUCCCCUUGCCCUGCGGACGACACCGAGGUGUUGUCUCAAGAGGCACCGGGUCGAGGGGAGACAGUCCCGGAGGCGCCUCAAGGCGACCUUCCGAACUCCGGGAGGAGAGGGGACAAGGCCCCUGAGGGCUCCGAGUUCGGCCCUCAGCCGAACACCGCGCCGGAACCUCCAGUGGUUCCGGACUCGGGCAGGCAGCCUCCUUCCAAGAGGGGCAAGACGGCUGUGUCGGUGACCCCUGUCCAACUAGAGGCACCGGACACUCUGCUAGGAGCGCUUCGCAGCGCUUCCAUCGACGAAGAGCACCGCACUAUUAUCAGUGCGACGAUCCAGAAGGUUCAGUCUGCCAAGAGCGGACUGACUGAAGCCUAUGCCAGCCUUCUAAUAGGCUUUGAGGUAAGUGUUUAAAAUAUAGGAAAAAUAUUACCGCAUAGAUAGUAGCCCCUGAUGCUCUAUUCGGUGUUCACAAAGAAAAGCCGAAUAGAGGAUCAAAACAAUAUCGCAGGAGUCUAAUUUAAGUAUAUCAAUAUGCAUAUGCAGGCUUCGCUGCUGGCAUCUGCCACACUGACUGCGGAGGUCACUGCACUGAAGCAGGACCUUAAAGGGUCCAAGGAUGAGCUCAGCCUUGCCAAGAGGCAGCUCGAGGAGAACAAAGGUAAGUAAUACCUAGUCUAUGGAUAUGUAUAAAAAGAAUGCAAUUGCAAAAUGAAAAGAUCAUCAUGAAUUUGCCAGGGGCCAUGACCGAAGUGGCAACCCUAAAGCAAGCGAUGUCCGAGGCCGAAGAUAAAGCGGCCAAGGAGUGCACCGAGCGGGAAAGGCAAGAGGCUCGGGUGGGCGAGGUGCAGCAAGAGCUCUAGGCUCUCGUGACAAAGCACGAGGCGUUGGAGCUUGACUCGAAGACGCGAGAUUCUGAGCUUUCCGUGGCCCUCGAGAGCGCGAAGAGUGCCAAGGCCGAAGCCCAAAAGGCCCUCCAGGAGAUUGACGCGAUGAAGAAAAUAGCAGCGGGUAAGGCAUUCUAUAUGCAAAGCAAGCAUGUGAAAGUAAAUUACCUAUUACUUACUCGAGUCCGGAGCUCUCCAGGAGCAUUCACAGAUUUGCCCCACAGCGUGUCGAAUGCCGCAUAGUUUUGCUAGGCCGAGGAGGGAAGUUCAACGAAGAAGCUAUUCUGGUCUUAGUAUAUUGGGACCGAACACCCGGUGCCUAUGAGCGACAGCUGAAGCAGCUGGUCGAGCUACACAAGGCGACCGAACAGGCCAUGAAGGGCUUUAUAGUCCGGCUGUGGCCUGGUGACGCCCUUCCGAACAGCUACAUCAGCCUGGUGAGGCGACUUGUGGAUGCUUGCCCACGGUUGGAAGUCGUCAAGUGGUACGUCUGCAUUGAAGGUGCACGCCGGGCUUUCGCCCGCGUGAAGGUGCAAUGGGCCAAGCUAGACGCCAUGAAGCUGGUCAAGGAAGGACCGCCGCAGGGCAAGGAGCAUCGCACCCCCGAAAUUUAUUAUGAGGGUGUCCUGAAGGGUGCCCGUCUUGUAGCGGACGAAUGUCCAAAGGAUGUAAUAUUUGAGUGAACUUGCUCGUGUGAUCCUGUAUGAUGAAAACUUGUUUCAUAUGCGCUAUGCAACGCUUGUUUGAAUUUAAAAUAUUACCUUCUGUUUGGCUGUUUAUCCAAUAUGAGAGAUGGCUAGUCCUCAGCUUCUGCCCCCAUGCCACGAGUGCUGGGGUGUUCAGGAUAAACCUGAGCACUCUUGUUCCCAUUUUUGGGUCCUUCGAGGGAGGUGCUCAGCACAACAAACAAGGAAACCAGACUAAUAAUGCUUUAUCACUCUCACUUAGCCAUAGAAUUCUAUAAUUUUAAAUUUCGGCGAAGCCCCUGGUAUUCGGAAGGCCGAAUUCAGGGCGCGAUACACGCCUUUAAGCCGGACAGGACCGGCUCCUCGCUCUAAGCGGCAUAAGUCUUUAGGGACUCGAAAUCUCGCCGAACAUCGACCAGUCUCUCGCCUUAUCAUGACAGUCAGUUUUAGCUUUCUCUAUUGAGGUGCUUACUCAGCAGAACCGGGGCACAAUCGCAGUAGUUCUCCUAGUGCUACCUUAGCCGAUAGAGCGGAACAUAAGGUACCAAAACAUAGGAGCCGGGCAAACCCAAUAUUUGACCAAGAACAUGAUUCAGAGCUGAUGCAUAUAAUGCUAUAAGUUCGGGGUGCCGCACUUGUGAAAGUGUUUGGACUUCUCACACCAUAUUGUGGGGUACUUAAGCCCCUGGUGUAUUGGCCAUACCAAAGUGUACGGUUGCAAGGCGUCAUUAAUGAACACACACACACACACACACACAUAUAUAUAUAUAUAUAUAAAGAAGAAUGCAAUAAUAGUCUUAAUGAUAUGCAUUGUUUAUUCAAAAAGGUGCAUUAAAGCAGAAUGAUACAGAUAGUGCGAUAAGCAAAAAGUAGGACUAUGUCCCUUCCAAGGGCAAGUUGAGGAAUAGUAUUAAAGCAAAUAUUUCACUCGUUGUCGUAAUCCACCUGGGAGUUCCGUGGUGUGACAUAGCUUUCAGCCACCUUGGUUGUUGCAUCAUGUGUUCGACAAUCAUGCUGCCGGAUAGGGUUUCCAGAGAUUAAAGUCCUGAAAGAGAAAAAUAACAAAGCGGGAAGCCCCUAGUGCGGUUUAAGCCGCGUCUUGGGGCGUGCCGUAGUUGUGCCCCCUCCCCACCUGUGCCCAUGGUAUUUUUAAUGCGUAAUUUUGUACGUGUGGCAUGGAUUUCGCCGUUUGGCUGGGACUGGGGUGGGGGCCGCAUUGCUACGCGAGCUCAGAUCGUGCCAGGCGGUCUAGUUGCCGAGUACUCCGAGCGCGCUUGAAGGUGUCCGGGUCUUCAAACGCCGGACUGGUGGAUUGCCUUGAGAGGAUGCUUUGCGCUUCUGCUGCGAGGGCCGCAGUGUGCUCCUCCGUGCGGAGAGAGCGCUCUGUGUUUCCAUUAACUGUGAUGACCCCCCGAGGUCCUGGCAUCUUGAGCUUGAGGUAUGCAUAAUGCGGUACCGCAUUGAAUCUCGCAAAUGCGGUUCGCCCGAGCAGUGCAUGAUAGCCACCGCGGAACGGGACUGUAUCGAAGAUUAAUUCUUUGCUUUGGAAGUUAUCCGGGGAUCCGAAGACCACUUCCAGUGUAAUUGAGCCUGUGCAAUGGGCCUCUACACUUGGAAUGACGCCUUUAAAGGUCGUUUUUGUGGGUUUGAUCCUUGAGGGAUCUAUACCCAUUUUGCGCACUGUGUCCUGGUAAAGUAGGUUCAGGCUGUUGCCGCCAUCCAUAAGGACUCGAGUGAGGUGAAAUCCGUCAAUGAUUGGGUCUAGGACCAGUGCGGCGAAUCCGCCAUGACGGAUACUAGUGGGGUGGUCCCUGUGAUCGAAGGUGAUCGGACAGGAGGACCAUGGGUUGAACUUUGGGGCGACUGGCUCCAAUGCAUAUACGUCCCUGAGUGCACGCUUCUGCUCCCUCUUGGGGAUGUGGGUUGUGCAUAUCAUGUUCACCGUCCGCACUUGUGGGGGGAACCUCUUCUGUCCUUCGGUGUUCGGCUGCCGGGGCUCCUCUUCGUCAUCGCUAUGUGUCCCCUUAUCUUUGUUUUCGGCAAUUAACUUGCCGGCCUGCUUGAAUACCCAACAAUCCCUAUUGUUGUGGUUAGUAGGCUUGUCGGGGGUGCGUGUAUUUGACACGAGCGAUCGAGUAUGCGGUCCAAACUGGACGGGCCCGGAGUGCUUCGUUUGAAUGGCUUUUUCCGCUGACCGGGUUUAGAGCCUUUGAAUCCGGCAUUGACUGCCGUAUCCUCGUUGUUGUCGCUGUUAAUGCGGUGCUUAUGUUUGUUGCGACGUGACCUGCUAUUGCCGUCCUUCGUAUCCGAAGUACCAUGGUUCUUUGAUAUGUUAUUACUGCGAGCCAGCCAGCUGUCUUCUCCCGCACAAAAGCGGGUCAUGAGUGUCAUGAGGGCUGCCAUAGAUUUCGGCUGUUCCUGACCAAGGUGCCGGGCUAGCCACUCGUCACAGAUGUUGGGUUCGAAAGCUGCUAGGGCCUCUGCAUCUGGACAGUCGACGAUUUGAUUUUUCUUUGUUAGGAACCGAGUCCAGAAUUGCCUGGCCGAUUCUUCUGGCUGCUGAAUUAUGUGGCUCAAGUCAUCGGCAUCUGGUGGUCGCACAUAAGUGCCCUGAAAGUUGUCAAGGAAUGCGGCCCCCAGAUCUUCCCAACAGCCAAUGGACUCUGGUGGCAAGCUGUUAAGCCAAUGCCACGCUGGUCCUUUGAGCUUUAGUGGGAGGUAUUUGAUGGCGUGUAAGUCAUCACGGCGGGCCAUGUGGAUGUGGAGGAGGAAAUCCUCGAUCCAUACCGCAGGAUCUGUUGUGCCGUCGUAUGAUUCUAUAUUUACGGGUUUGAAACCCUCUGGGAUUUGAUGAUCCAUGACUUCGUCUGUGAAGCAUAAGGGGUGUGCGGUGUCUCUGUAUUGGGCUAUAUCGCGACGCAGCUCGAAUGGGUCUUGCCCGUUGUGUUCGGCCCGGCCGGACUUACUUUUACUGUAUCCGGCAUGACGUUUAUCGUCUCGCAUAGUGGCGCACCCUCGUGAUCGGUAGAUCGAUCUUGCAUGUUUUGCUUUGUCCUCCAAUACGUCUCGCAGGUCUGGCGUAUUUCCCCAUGCCUUUUUAUUUGAAUGGCGUCGGGGUGCAGGCUGAACUUUUGGCUGGAAUGCCUCUGUAUCGCGGCCACGAGGUGGCCGAUCAGCCGCAUCAUACGCUUCUUCCUCCAGUCCAGGUAGCAACCUGCAUUUUGGGUAACUCUUGGACGGGCGUUCGAGUUUAUAUUCCUUGGCCACAAGGACUUUAGUCCAUCUAUCAGCUAGCAGAUCUUGAUCAGCUUGAAGCUCCUGCUGCUUUUUUUAAGGCUAUUUGCCGUGGCUAUAAGCCGGCGCUUGAAGCACUCUUGUUCGACGGGAUCCUCUGGCACGGCGAAUUCUUCAUCGUCGAGGCUUGCCUUGUCUUCGGAGGGGGCAUGUAAUUAUCAUCCUCCGCCUCUCCAUCUGCCACUCUCUCAGGAGGGCUGGCUCCUCCAUCCUCCUGCUCUAAAUCUUGCUGGAGGGGAUUGUUGUUACCGUCGGCACUAUCCAGAGUGUUAUUAUCUCCUGUGCCGGUAUCACCACUUUUGCUUUGGCGGGACUUAGAGUGGCGCCGCUGACGUCGGCGCUUGGGUUGUUUCUUGGAGGGUCAUCCUCUGCAGUCUCGUCGCCAUUGCCUUCUUUGGGUGUGUACACCAUGUAUAUAUCGUAUGAUGAGGUGGCUGUCCAGUGCCCUGUGGGUAGUGGUUCCUCUUCGUCUCCCGCAUCGCCGUCCAUACCAUCGAUGUCUUCGGAGUCGAAGUCGAGCAUGUCAGCUAAGUCAUCGACAGUGGCUACUAAGUGGGUGGUGGGUGGGCCGCGAAUUUCUUCGUCGACCGCGUCCCAAUCCUGCCGGACAUAGCUCGGCCAGGAUCCACCUGACAAGGAGAGAGACCUUAAUGAGUUCAGUAUGUCACCAAAGGGCGAGUGCUGAAAAAUAUCCGCAUAGGUAAACUCCAUGAUCGGCGCCCAAUUAGAUUCGCUAGGAACGGGCGCAGGCGGUUCAGAGUCCAUGGCCGGAGAAGGAUCCGGCAGUUUGACAACAUGGCUCUCGUGCAGGGUAAGGUCGAUGUUCGACUCAAUCACCGAUGAGGGUAAGGCUUCCAUGGCGGGGUCCAUCCACCCGUCCAUGGACGACGCAAAUGGCUCCGAAUUGAGGGUCGAAGCGGCUACCGAUGCGAUCUCCUGAACACUGUAUGAUGGUAGAGCCAAAUCGUACUCAUCGUGACCGCGUGGUGCACAAGGCAGAGGCUCAAAUCCGUCGAAGAUCAAGUCUCCGCGGAUAUCGGCCGUGUAGUUUAAGCUUCCAAACCUGACCUGGUGGCCAGGGGCGUAAUCUUCGAUUUGCUCCAGAUGGACAAGCGAGUUGGCCCGCAGUGCGAAGCCGCCGAACACAAAGAUCUGUCCGGGGAGAAAAGUCUCACCCUGGACUGCAUCGCUAUGGAUGAUUGUAGGAGCCAUCAAGCCUAACGGCAACGACACAGAGGAACUCUCAAUGAAAGCACCAAUGUCAGUGUCAGAACCGGCGGAUCUCGGGUAGGGGGUCCCGAACUGUGCGUCUAGGCAGAUGGUAAUAGGAGGCAGGGGACACGAUGUUUUACCCAGGUUCGGGCCCUCUUGAUGGAGGUAGUACAAGAGUAGAUCUACCACGAGAUCGAAGAUGCUGAACCCUAGUAGCUAGCCUAUGGUAUGAUUGUAUGUUGUCCUACGGACUAAAACCCUCCGGUUUAUAUAGACACCGGAGGGGGCUAGGGUUACACAAGGUCGGUUACAAAGGAGGAGAUAUACAUAUCCGUAUUGUCUAGCUUGCCUUCCACGCCAUGUAGAGUCCCAUCCGGACACAAGACGAAGCCUUCAAUCUUGUAUCUUCAUAGCCCAAUAGUCCGGCCAAAGGGUUAUAGCCCGGCUGUCCAGAUACCCCCUAAUCUAGGACUCCCUCAGCCGUCAACAGGCUGAAAGUGACACCGGGCCAGAAAUUGGCCCAACACUUAAAUGGGCCGCUAAAAGGCCGAAACUCAGGUCCGACUACAAAUGGCCCAUCAGAUUUAUGGGCCGUCAACAGGUUGAAAGACACACCGGGCCGGAAAUUAGCCCAACAUUUAAAUGGGUCGCUAAAAGGCCGAAAGAUGUACAUCCUGAAAAUUGGCCCAUCCAUUAAAUGGGCCGUUAACAGGCCAAAAUCUCAUUGGGCCCAUAUUGAGCCCAAAUAUAUAGCGGGCUGUUAACGGGCUCGAACUGACGAUGGGCUGCGAUGGUGUCAAAUCUUUAACGGGCCGAAUUGGCACAUCUUGUAUGGGCCGUGGGCUUAAAUGGACCUGAAACAAGUAGGCCUUAUAUGGGCCGGCCUGCUAAUUUUUACUGGGCCGGCCUUUUUCACCGGAAUGGGCCACUGUUGGGCCGUGCCACAUGUCGACCUAUCAUAGGCGCCUCCUGUCCAAUGAGUGGAUGACAUCUGUCCCAAUGAUGAGCCAACACGUGUUUCCUCUAGCCAAUGAUGAUUUUACACGUGGAAAAUCCCCAUUGGUCGGGGCUAUUAACGGGUUAUCGGAUCCAAAACCUGACCCGAUAGCUUAACAGCGUUCCGUUACGGUGGAUGCCACGUGUCGGUCACCCUUGACGAAAGCACUUCUGUGACGCGCGAUUAAUCGUCAUGGAAGUGGACACUUCCGUGAUGAUAAUUUUGGUAAUGUCAUGGAACACUUCUACGACAGCACAGAUAUGACUAUCUUGAUUCUGUCAUAAAUUUUUCAUGGAUGUACAUGCAUGACAAAAACGUGACCUAAUGUGACAAACACGUAUCAUCACGGAAGUGUAUUUUUUUGCAGUGUGUGCGGUUCGCGUGACCCCUUGGGAACAGGCGAGUUUUAAGGCUCAAGGGAGGGGACGCUUGAUAUUCGCAGUCCAUAUAAGUGGAUAGAACCCAUCUGUUCCACCCCACGCCUCAUUCUCUUUGCCUCUCCGCCCCGGAGAUCCAGCUCCCAAACUCCAAGCUCUUCCCUUCACGACAACUUCUCCGACCAUGGCUGGCUCCCAAGAAACUGGGUGCCAUCCUCCGUCAUAGAGGAGAACAUCAAGGAGUUGCGGGAAGCGCAGUAUUUGACCGCGGAAAUCAAGCACAUGCUUUCUGAUCCAGCGCAGGUCAUCCCCACUCCGGGGCCCGGUGAGAGGGUGGUGUUUAACCCCCACUUCCUCCAUGGACUCGGAUUCGUCCUCCACCCCUUUGUAAGGGGUCUCAUGUUCUACUACGGGCUGGAUUUUCAUGAUCUGGCCCCAAAUUCGUUCCUUCACAUCUCAGUGUUUAUCGUCGUGUGUGAAGCCUUCCUCCGUGUCCCUCCACAUUUCGACUUAUGGCUCAAGAUUUUUAAUAUGAAACCAAAGCUGGUCAAUGGGAAACACGCGGACUGUGGCGGCACCAUGGUGAGCAAGAUUCCCAAAGUCAAUUGGCCAAAGGGAGUUUUUUUGGACACCGUCAAAAUAUGGCAAUAAGAAUGGUUCUAUAUCACAGAACCCCGCGGCUCCAAGUGGGCGGCUGCACCAGCCUUUAGAUCCAGACCCCGGUGAGGAUUACAUCCUGGACCGACAAGAGUCCGGACUAGGGGUCGGUCCCUGAGGUGCUGCGGCUGCAGAAACGCAUCAAGAGCAUGAUAGCGAAGGACGUUACCCUUGCCGAUGUAUUCCAAGUGAUGCUGAUCCGCCGAGCACUUCCCCGCCAGAGGCAGCCCCUCAAGAUGUGGGAGUUCAAUCCGGAAGGGUCAUGGACCCUACAACGGUUCUACGACACAAUGCAUAAGGGGAUCUGGAAGCUGCUUUUUAAGAAGCGGAAGUCAUGGCCAAUGUCCUCAGAUGACACCGUCCUCGACUGCAACCACCCGUCCUCCAAGGUAAAUUCAAAAAACUCCGAACACCAAUAGGCUUCAACAACCUGAGGGAGAGGUGCGAAGUAAUCCAUCCCCAAACAGGUCUGGAUUAAGAAGGCGGAGCAGAUCCGGUGUCCGGCUCCGCUCCCCGAAGACCUAGCCAAUCCUCUUCUAAUGAGGAUGCUGGUACCGACGCCAUACCAGGUGCCGGCAAAGAAGGACAAGAAGAAGAAAAGGGAGGAGAGCACUUCGGGCGCAAUGUCCAGAGAUGCUGAUGCCCAGUCCUCUCACGAGGGUGAUGACGGCGAUGAGGAGGAGGAGGACGAAGAAGAUCUCCCCCGCAAGGGUAAAAAGAGAGUGGCCUCUGAAGACCUAGAAGACGAAGCGUCCAAGAGGGACAAAAUUACCCUCCCCGAUGACUCGGGGUCAGACACCAAGGUUACUCCGAAGCACCGGCGCCGGACUAAGCCCCAAGUUGACUCGUAAGUGGUCCGGGAUUUUUUCGCACUUAUUCAAUCAAUAAACUGUGAUGAUAACUCUAAGUUCUAUCUUUUAGUCCGGCCCGCGAUCUUCCCCCACUAUCUUCAUCCUCGGGGGAUCUUCCACCGGAGAUGAUGGAGAGCGGGCCGCCUCCAUUAGCCUCCCUGCCGCCUAAGGCGGAUGAUGCCGAGGUGUCGUCUCAUAGGCCCUCCCCAAGCCUUGAAGAGACAUGGGGGGCGAUCUAACGGUGCCAGAGGGUAAUACCUUGGCUGCCGGAGGGCCGGGGAGGAUGUUCCUCAUGGAGACCGGCGACGAGGGCCCCGGUCAAUCCAUCCCCCAGCCGCAGACUGCUCCGGAGACCAAUAUGGCCCCGUAGUCUAGUGAACGACCCCCUGCGGGAGAAAAGGGAGCGGCGACCUCUGCUAAUCUGGAGGUGCCGAAUAUCACGACGGACGCUCUUCAAAGUGCAUCUGUCCUAGACGAGCACCACAUCUUGAUGGGUGCGGUGUCUGAGAAGAUUCAGUCUGCCAAGAGUGGACUGAACGAAGCCUUCUCCAGCCUGCUAGCAGGCUUCGAGGUAUGCAAUGUAAUGUUUUUUGAUCUUUUUUAUGGGAAAUAUGCCCGUAUAUAGAUAGUAGCCCCUGAGACUCUAUUCGGUUUUCUGAAAGAAAAGCGAGCACAAGAUCAAUAAUCAGUUGUCAGGUGGUAACAUGCUAUUUUAUUUGAAUUUCAAAACAGGCCUCUCUGUUAGCAGCGACUGCCCAGUCGGCGGAGAUUUUCGAACUCAAAUGGAAACUAGAGCGAGCCGAUGAGGAUCUACUCCUUGUUAACACGCGACUCGACCAAGCGCAAGGUAUAAGAUACAUCUUGUGGUAUGCCUGUUUAUUUUCGUGCUUUUGUGGAAGUUGAAGAGCUUUACUGUGCAUGGUUGUACAGAUGGUGCUACCGCGAUGGAGACCCUUGAGGGUGAGCUUGCUCAAGCCAAGGAGCAGGCAAGGGUAAGCCAGGCGGCUGCUGACAAGGCAAUUGUGGACUUAAUGGCUGAACAGGCCACUCGGCAUCGUUUUGAGGAACGGGUGACUGAGAUGGAGCAAAAGCUCAAGGAGACUGCCGCCAAGUGUGAUUCCCUGGAAACGGAAAACAGAGCGAAGGUGACCGAACUCGCCAAGGCCAAUCAAGAUGCUUCAGAGGCACGGUUUGAAUCCCAUGCUGCGCGCGAGGAAAUCCAUCAAGCCGGUCAGAUAGCGGUUGGUAAGCUAUUUAUUUUACAGGCUAAAUUUGGGGACCAGAAGUAUGCCUUGCUUAAUCGACUAUGGAGUUCUCCAGACGCACGUGCGGAUCUACUAACGAGUGCUACGGAUGCCGCCCAAUUCUUCCAGGCCCAGGAGGGGUACGAGUCGGAGAAGCUCUUCUGGUCAUAGUUUGUGGAGCAGGAGCGUCCCCUACUGCUAAAUGACCAAAUGGCACAAUGGGCAGAGCUGCAUAAGAUGUCCAGUGCAUCCAUGAAGGACAUCAUAGUCCGGUUGUGGCCUGCUGAAGCCGUUCCGGGCAGCUACUUUGGCCUCGUGCGGUGUCUCGUCGAUGUGCUACCCUGGAUUGAUGCUCUCAAGAGGUGGUCCUCCAUGGAAGGAGCGUGUAUGGCUUUCGCCCGUGUCAAGAUGCACUGGGUGAAAAUGAAUGCCAAAAAGGUGGCGGUCGAGGGUCCUCCCGAAAGCAAGGCCCACCGCACACCAGAGCGCUAUUUUGAGGACGUGAUAAAAGGUGCUCGCCUUAUAGAGGGCCAAUGCUCGAAGGACAUAGUGUUCGAAUAAAAAGUCCAAACUUUCCGUGGAUGUUAUAAAUUAAAUGUUUUGUAAUAUAUUCAUUCCUUGAUGAAAGGUUUUUAUCCUCCUGCGCGACCGUUUAUUGUAUCUGAGAGUUCCUAGUCGGCGGCUUCAGCCCCCAUGUAGAUGCUACUGGGGUGUUUGAAAUUGCACAUAACUACACUUAACCCAAUGUCUUGGUCCUUGAAGGAGGUGUCAGUGCGGCGAACCAGGCAAUCAGACUAUUCGGUUUCAUUGCUCUCACUUAGCUAUAGGAGUUUGGCAAUGGGUCUAUUAGGUAGCCCCUAGUAUGUAUGCGGCUACCCUGAUGCGGGUGCAUUACAUAUGUGACCGGGAAACGGUCCUUCGUGUAACGGAAAAAUCGGUAAGGAUUGUAAUGAAUCGCCGAGUGGCUAACCAGCUCUCGCCGCAUCAUGACAAUCAGUUUUUAGCUUUCUCUAUUGAGGUGCUUAACCGGACGAACCAGAAACACAAUCACAUUAGUUCUUACUUUACUACCCUAGCCGAUCAAACAAAAUGUAAGGUAGCAAGCACAGGAGCCGGGCAACCCAACUAUUGACCAAAGACAUGAUUCAGAGCCGAUGCAUAUAAUGCCGAGCUCAGGACGCCGAAUUGUGCUAUAAAGCUGUUCGAACUUUUGUUUGGCAACGCAUAUGUUGUCCUAUAGAGCCCCUGGCAAUUUUGUGCCGAGGUGUGUGAGUGAGGAAACUGUAAAGACGGAAUGAAGUCUGCAAUUAAAGAUGGUUCCGAAUAAGAAUUUGUUUCACUGGGAUCUGAUUGAUACGUCAAAACGUAAUCUUACAUAAUUUAUCAUAAUCACAAAGGCCAUUUUGCAUGCCGGGGGUCUAGGGCUGGGAGAAAAAAAGCUUCUAUACAGGUUCUUGAGUGAAGUUGUGGUUUGCAAAAAUGCUUUGCACCUUCCUGCCGCAUGUUUGCGCCGCUUUCGCCCAAAUAAGAAAGAUUCCUUUAAAGGAAUGGUCUUCAGCUAUGUAUACAAAACCGGGCUCGGAAAGAGUCCUCGUGGGUCCGAAGAAUGAGUAGGUUUUGAUUCACUUGUGGUAAGAAAAUGAUUAAAUAAAGGGGAAAGCCAUAUAAGGUCAAACCUUUUUAUAGGCCUGUCCAUAUAUUGGCUCCGCCGAUGCCCAAGGUAUUUUGAGUGCAUAAUUGUGCACGCGCGGUAGGAAUUCCGCUGAUGUACAUGGUGGUCAACAGAGGCUAGGAUGCUAAUCCAGCCCUGAAGUUGUCGGACUGCCGGUAUACAGGACUGACCGGUCUUGCAUGGGGAAGUCCGGUGGCCUAAUAGCCAAGGAUGUGUGCGGCUUGAUAGGGCCGCUUUGUGCUUCGGCCGUAAUGGCCGCUGUAUGCUCCUCAGUACGGGGGAGCGCUCCAUGUUUUUGUUGAUUGUAAUGACGCCACAUGGACCGGGCAUCUUGAGCUUUAAAUAGGCAUAAUGCGGGACCGCAUUGAAGGGGGCAAAAGCGGUUCGUUCGAGCAAUGUGUGAUAGCAUCUGCGGAAGGGGAUGAUGUUGAAGAUCAAGUCUUCGCUUCGGAAGUUGUCCGACGAGCCAAAGACUACUUCCAACGUGAUUGAGCCUGUACAGUGGGCCUCAUUUCCAGGUAUUACUCCUUUGAAGGUAGUUCUAGUGGGCUUGAUUCUUGACGGAUUAAUGCCAUUUUGCGGACAGUGUCUUGAUAAAGUAGAUUGAGACUGCUGCUGCCAUCCAUGAGGACUUGCGUAAGAUGGAAUCCGUCGAUGAUGGGAUGGAGGACCAGAGCUGCCGAACCUCCGUGACGGAUACUGGUUGGGUGGUCCUUUCGAUCGAAGGUGAUCGGACAAGCCGACCAUGGGUUAAAUUUGGGGGCGACCGGCUCUAUGGCGUAGACGUCCCGUAGUGCGUGUUUGCGCUCCCUCCUAGGUAUAUGUGUGACAUAUAUCAUAUUCACCAUUUUUACUUCGGGGGAAACUACUUCUGUCCACCUGUGUUUGGUUGACGGGGCUCUUGGUCAUCGUAGUCACUUGGCGACCCUUUUCCCUUGUGUUCGGCGUUAAGCUUGCCGACUUGUUUGAAGACCCAACAAUUUCUGUUGGUAUGAUUGGCGGGUUUAUCGGGGGUACCAUGAAUCUGGCAAGGCCGAUCAAGUAUUCUAUCUAGACUGGAUGGGCCAUCUCCGUUUGCCUUGAAUGGCUUUUUCCGUUGACCGGGUUCGGAGCCACUGAAUCCGGCGUUAACCGCCGUGUCUUGCGCUCCUUCAUUGUUGUUUUGAUGCUUAUGCUUGUCGCGUCGUGGCUUGCCAUUGCUGUCCCUAGUUUCGGAGGCACCAGGGUCGCUGGUGCUAUUGCUUCUACGAGCGAGCCAGCUGUCUUCUCCCGCGCAAAAACGGGUCAUAAGUGUGGUGAUGGCUUCCAUGGACUUCGGCUUUUCUUGGCCGAGGUGUCAGGCGAGCCACUCGUCUCGGACGCUAUGUUUGAAGGUUGCGAGGGCCUCUACAUCCGGACAAUCCACAAUCUGAUUCUUUUUUAUUAGGAACCUUGGCCAAAGCUGUCGGGCGGAUUCCCCAGGCUUCUGGAUUAUGUGGCUAAGUUCAUCGGCAUCAGGGGACCGUACAUAGGUACCUUGGAAGUUGUCUCUGAAUGCAUCCAGGUCCUCCCAGCUACCAAUAGAAUUUUCUGGUAGAAUGUUCAGCCAGUGCCGUGCUGGUCCCUUAAGUUUGAGGGGAAGGUAUUUGAUGGUGUGUAGAUCGUCACUGCGAGCCAUGUGAAUGUGGAGAACAAAGUCUUUAAUCCAUACUGCGAGAUCUGUUGUGCCGUCGUAUGAUUCGAUGUUCAUGGGUUUGAACUCUUUGGGGAACUCGUGCUCCAUUACCCCAUCGGUGAAGCAUAGGGGUUGUGCGGCGCCUCUAUAUCGGGCCAUGUCACGACGCAGUUCGGAUGGAGUCCGUAUGCGGUUUUCAGCCCAGGGAUUGGUUAUGUUUAUCGCACCAGGCUUGAUAGCCCUCCUCUCGCGCCGGAGCACGCCCCCGCGAUCCGUAGCUUGACCUUGUCUGACCUGUCCUAUUUUCCAGGUCCUGUCGUAGGUCGUAUGUGUAACCCCAAGAUGUUGUUUCUCUGCUUUUAUGGCGAGGUGGAGCGGGCUGGUGUUUGGCUUGACUUGUCGUUCUGCCCUGGCCACGUGGUGGUUGGUUGGGUUCGGCAGCCACAUUGCGUGCUGGCGGUAUGGGCUCCCGCACCUCGUUGUCGAAUUGGGGCAGCAGCUUACGCUUCAGGUAACUCUUUUUUGGGCAUUCGAGUCCAUACUCUUCGGCCGCCAGGACAUUAGUCCAUCUGUCGUUGGGCAGAUCUUGGUCAGCAUGAAGCCGUUGCUGUUUCUUUUUAGGGUUCUAGCCGUAGCUAUUAGCCAGCGCUUGAAGCACUCUUGUUCGAGGGGUUCCUCUGACAUGAUAAAAUCUUCGUCGCCGAGGCUCACGUCGUCCUCGGAGAGUGUCAGAUAGUUGUUGUCCUCCGAGUCGUUGUUCCCUGUUUGUUCGUCAGGGUCAACUUGCCCAUCCUCCCGAUCAUCCUGUUCGGAUGUUAGUUGAUACGUCCAUUUUGCAUCAUGCUUUUAUAUCAAUAUUUAUUGCAUUUCAGGAUGUUAUUACACAUUAUGUCACAAUACUUAUGCCUAUUCUCUCUUAUUUUACAAGGUUUACAUGAAGAGGGGGAAUGCCGACGGCUGGAAUUCUGGGCUGGAAAAGGAGCAAAUAUUACAUACCUAUUCUGCACAUCUCCAAAAGUCCUAAAACUUCAUGGGAGCAUGUUUUAGAAUAUAUAAAAAAUAUUGGGCGAAAGAAGUACCAGAGGGGGCCACCCACCGUCCACGAGGGUGGGGGGCAUGCCCUACCCCCCUAGGCGUGCCCCCUGCCUCGUGGGCCCCCUAGCAGCCCUCUGAUGCCCAUCUUUGGCUAUAUGGAGUCCUUCAACGAGAAAAAAAAUCAUAAGGAAGCUCACGGGACGAAACUCCGCCGCCAUGAGGCGGAACCUUGGCAGAACCAAUCUAGGGCUCCGGCGGAGCUGUUCUGCCGGGGAAACUUCCCUCCGGGAGGGGGAAAUCAUCACCAUCGUCAUCACCAACGAUCCUCUCAUCGGGAGGGGGUCAAUCUCCAUCAACAUCUUCACCAGCACCAUCUCCUCUCAAACCCUAGUUCAUCUCUUGUAUCCAAUCUUCGUAUCAAAACCUCAGAUUGGUACCUGUGGGUUGCUAGUAGUGUUGAUUACUCUUUGUAGUUGAUGCUAGUUAGUUUAUUUGGUGGAAGAUCAUAUGUUCAGAUCCAUUAUGCAUAUUAAUACCCCUCUGAUUAUGAACAUGAAUAUGCUUUGUGAGUAGUUACGUUUGUUCCUGAGGACAUGGGAGAAGUCUCGCUAUAAGUAGUCUUGUGAAUUUGGUAUUCAUUCGAUAUUUUGAUGAGAUGUAUGUUGUCUUUCCUCUAGUGGUGUCAUGUGAACGUCCACUACAUGACACUUUACCAUUGUUUGGGCCUAGAGGAAGGCAUUAGGAAAUAAUAAGUAGAUGAUGGUUUGCUAGAGUGACAAAAGCUUAAACCCUAGUUUAUGCGUUGCUUUGUAAGGGGCUGAUUUGGAUCCAUAUGUUUCAUGCUAUGGUUAGGUUUACCUUAAUACUUAUGUUAAAGUUGCGGAUGCUUGCAAUAGGGGUUAAUCAUAAGUGGGAUUCUUGUCCAAGGAAGGACAGUAGCCAAGCACCGGUCCACCCACAUAUCAAAUUAUCAAAGUACCGAACGCGAAUCAUAUGAACAUGAUGAAAACUAGCUUGACGAUAACUCCCAUGUGUCCUCGGGAGCGCUUUCCUUUAUAUAAAAGUUUGUCCAGGCUUGUCCUUUGCUACAAAAAGGAUUGGGCCAUAUUGUUGCACCUUAUUUACUUUUAUUACUUGUUACCCAUCACAAAUUACCUUAUCACAAAACUAUCUGUUACCGAUAAUUUCAGUGCUUGCAGAAAAUACCUUGCUGAAAACCGUUUAUCAUUUCCUUCUGCUCCUCGUUGGGUUCGACAGUCUUACUUAUCGAAAAGGCUAUGAUAGAUCCCCUACACUUGUGGGUCAUCAUUAGUUCGAUGGGGUCUUCUUGGUCUUUGUUGUUCUCCGGAGUAUCUUGUGUUCGGUGCCGGUAUUGCUGUUCUUACCGCGGCGCGAUUUAGAGUGGCGCUGCUGACGUCGAUGUUUUGGCGGUAUCUUAGGAGGUUCAUCCUCGACUGGGUUUUUCUCGUCGUCGCCGUCGCCGUUUUUAGGUGUAUCCACCAUGUAUACAUCCUACGAGGAGGUGGCAAUCCAACGUCCGAUAACCGAUGGGAUUUGGGCCUGCUCCUCUCUGACAUCGUCGUCUAUACCGUCAAUGUCUUCAGAGACGUAAUCAAGCAUGUCAGUUAGGUCCUCGAUAGUGGCUAUGAAGUGGGUGGUGGGUGGGAAGUAAAAUUCCCUAUUUCCAGCCCCUAGCCCGGGCUGCGUGUGAUUCAGAAGCAGUUCCUCUGUGAUGAUGAGGGAUAUCAUUAAGUCCAGAGCCUCGUUUAAGAGCGGGGUUUGGAUGGAGUCGGAAGUUUCUGGGCUAAGCUCACAUGAUGAGGGCCUCCAGGGUUCGGAAUUAGUGUCUGGAGAAGAAUUCGACUUUGUAAUGAUUGCUAGAGACGUUGUUCUCUCUGGUUUUCCGGUGUUGAGCUCUAAGGCUGCAGAGAGUCCGGCGGGCUCUAGACUCCCGUCUUCGGAUCUGAUGGUAUGCUCCGGAUCUAAGGCCGGAGCGGUGGUUGGGGCCGCGAACUCUUGGAAGAUCAAGUCUCCUCGGGUAUCAGCGGCAUAAUUUAGAUUUCCAAAACUGAUCUGAUGUCCAGGGGCAUAGCUGUCGAUCUGCUCUAGAUGGCCAACCGAGUUGGCCCUCAGUGCGAAGCCGCCGAAUACAAAGGUCUGGCCAGGGAGAAAAAUCUCCUCUGCGGCAGUGUUGUUGUAGAUGAUUGAUGUAGCCAUUGAGCCUUUCGACGACGACAUAGUGGAACUCUCAAUGAAAGCACCAAUGUUGGUGUCAAAACCGGCAGAUCUCGGGUAGGCGGUCCCGAAGUGUGCGUCUAAGGACCGAAGGUAACAAGAGAUAGGGGACAUGAUGUUUACCCAGGUUCGGGCGCUCUUAAUGGAGGUAAUACCCUACGUCCUGCUUGAUUGAAUUUGAUGAGUAUAGGGGUUACAAGAGUUGAUCUACCACGAGAUCGUAAUGGCUAAACCCUAGAUGUCUAGCCUAUAUGAUUAUGAUUGCCUCUACGGACUAGACCCUCCGGUUUAUAUAGACACCGGAGGGGGCUAGGGCUUGUACAGAUUCGGUUUACAGAGAAAGGAGUCUUCAUAUCCGCACGCUAAGCUUGCCUUCCAUGCCAAGGAGAGUCCCAUCCGGACACGGGGAAAGUCUUCUGUCUUGUAUCUCCACGGCCCAUUAUUCCGGCCCAUAUCACAUAGCCCGGACGCCUGAGGACCCCGUAAUCCUGGACUCCCUCAUCGGGUAUAAUAGAGAAACUGCUAGCUAAUCCUUUUACAGGAGAUGGAACAUUACAUCCCGAUAUGCACCUAAUCUAUGUGGAUGAAGUUUGUGGAUUAUUUAAGCUUGUAGGUAUGCCCGAGGAUGUUAUCAAGAAGAAGGUCUUCCCUUUAUCUUUGAAGGGAAAGGCAUUGACAUGGUUUAGGCUAUGUGAUGAUAUUGGAUCAUGGAACUACAACCGAUUGAAAUUGGAAUUUCAUCAGAAGUUUUAUCCUAUGCAUCUGGUUCAUUGUGAUCAUAAUUAUAUAUAUAUUUUUUGGCCUCACGAAGGAGAAAGUAUCGUUCAAGCUUGGGGGAGGCUUAAGUCAAUGUUAUAUUCAUGCCCCAAUCAUGAGCUCUCAAGAGAAAUUAUUAUUCAAAAAAUUUAUGCUCGGCUUUCUCUCAAUAAUCGCUCCAUGAUCGAUACUUCUUGUACUGGUUCUUUUAUGAUGAAGACUAUUGAAUUCAGAUGGGAUUUAUUGGAAAGAAUUAAACGCAACUCUGAAGAUUGGGAACUCGACGAAGGUAAGGAGUCAAGUAUAACACCUAAGUUUGAUUGUGUUAAAUCUUUUAUGGAUACCGAUGUUUUUCGUGAAUUUAGCACUAAAUAUGGACUUGACUAUGAGAUAGUAGCCUCUUUCUGUGAUUCAUUUGCUACUCAUGUUGAUCUCCCUAAGGAGAAGCAGUUUAAAUAUCAUACUCCCAUUGAAGUAAAAAUAGUUGAACCUAUUGAAGUUGAAGAAAAUACUAUCACUUAUAAUGUUGAUCCAAUUGUUCCUACCGCUUAUAUUGAGAAACCACCUCCUUGUUAGAAUAAAGGAUCAUGCUAAAGCUUCAACUACGGUUCGUAAGAGUAAUGCUAGAACACCUACACCCUCUGAGCAAAUUAAAGUUGAACCUAGUAUUGCUAUGGUUAUGGAUCUCUUGGUCGAUAAUAUUGAUGGGCAUGCUAUUUACUCCUGUGAUGAAGCUGCUAGAAUUGCUAGACCCGAUACUAAGAAUAAACAUAGACCUGGUGUUGGCAUGCCUGUUGUUUCUGUUAAAAUAGGAGAUCACUAUUAUCAUGGCUUAUGUUAUAUGGGUGCUAGUGUCAGUGCAAUACCUUACUCUUUAUAUAAAUAAAUUAUGCAUGAUAUUGCACCGGCUGAGAUAGAAGAUAUUGAUGUUACUAUUAAGCUUGCCAAUAGAGAUACUAUUUCACCAAUUCGGAUUGUUAGAGAUGUUGAAGUCUUGUGUGGGAAAAUUAAGUAUCCUACUGAUUUUCUUGUUCUUGCUUCCCCACAAGAUGACUUUUGUCCCAUUAUAUUUGGUAGACCCUUCUUGAAUACUGCUAAUGCUAAGAUAGACUGCGAAAAGGAUAUUGUUACUGUUGGUAUAGGGGAUAUGUCUCAUGAUUUCAAUUUUGCUAAAUUUCAUAGACAACCCCAUGAUAAAGAAUUGCCUACUAAAGAUGAAAUUAUUGGUCUUGCUUCUAUUGUCGUGCCUCCUAAUGAUCCUUUAGAACAAUAUUUUCUAGACCAUGAAAAUGAUAUGUUUAUGAAUGAAAGAAGGGAAAUAGAUGAAGUAUUCUUUAAACAGGGACCUAUUUUGAAACACAACUUGCCUGUUGAAAUUCUAGGGGAUCCUCCUCCACCCAAGGGUGAUCCCGUGUUUGAGCUUAAACCAUUACCUGAUACUCUUAAAUAUGUUUAUCUUGAUGAAAAGAAGAUAUAUCCUAUUAUUAUUAGUGCUAAUCUUUCAGAGCAGGAAGAAGAGAAAUUAUUGAAAACUCUGAAUAAGCCCUCUUGAUGAUCUUAAGGGCAUUAGUCCCACUCUAUGCCAACACAAAAUAAAAUUGGAGAAAGACGUUAAACCGGUUGUUGAUCACCAACGACGGUUAAAUCCUAAGAUGAAAGAAGUGGUAAGAAAUGAAAUGCUAAAGCUUCUGGAGGCAGGCAUAAUUUAUCAUGUUGCUGAUAGUCAGUGGGUAAGUCUUGUCCAUUGUGUCCCUAAGAAGGGAGGUAUUACUGUUGUUCCUAAUGAUAAAGACGAAUUGAUCUCACAAAGAAUUGUUACAGGUUAUAGAAUGGUAAUUGAUUUCCGCAAAUUAAAUAAAGCUACUAGAAAGGAUCAUUACCCUUUACCUUUUAUUGAUCAAAUGCUAGAAACAUUAUCCAAACAUACACAUUUUUGCUUUCUAGACGAUUAUUCUGGUUUCUCUCAAAUACCCGUGUUGAAAGAGGAACAGGAAAAGACCACUUUUACUUGCCCUUUCGGUACCUUUGCUUAUAGACGUAUGCCUUUUGGUUUAUGUAAUGCACCUGCUACCUUUCAAAGAUGUAUGACUACUAUAUUCUCUGACUUUUGUGAAAAGAUUGUUGAGGUUUUCAUGGAUGAUUUCUCCGUGUAUGGAACUUCUUUUGAUGAUUGCUUAAGAAACCUUGAUCGAGUUUUGCAGAGAUGUGAAGAAACUAAUCUUGUCUUGAAUUGGGAGAAGUGCCACUUUAUGGUUAAUGAAGGUAUUGUCUUGGGGCAUAAAAUUUCUGAAAGAGGUAUUGAAGUUUAUAAAGCUAAGUUAAUGCUAUUGAAAAGAUGUCAUGUCCUAAGGACAUUAAAGGUAUAAGAAGUUUCUUGGGUCAUGCUGGUUUUUAUAGGAGGUUCAUUAAAGACUUCUCAAAAAUUUAUAGGCCUCUGACUAAUCUCUUACAAAAAGAUGUUCCUUUUGUCUUUGAUGAUGAUUGUGUAGAAGCAUUUGAAAUACUUAAGAAAGCCUUGAUGUCUGCACCUAUUGUUCAGCCACCUGAUUGGAAUUUACCUUUUGAAAUUAUGUGCCAUGCUAGUGAUUAUGCUGUAGGUGUUGUUCUAAGACAAAGAGUUGAUAAGAAAUUAAAUGUCAUCCAAUAUUCUAGUAAAACUCUAGACAGUGCCCAGAGAAAUUAUGCUACUACUGAAAAGAAUUUUUAGCAGUUGUAUUUGUUUGUGAUAAGUUCAGACCCUAUAUUGUUGAUUAUAAAGUAACUGUUCACACUGAUCAUGCUGCUAUUAAAUACCUUAUGGAAAAGAAAGAUGCUAAACCUAAACUUGUUAGAUGGGUUCUCUUGCUACAAGAAUUUGAUCUGCAUAUUAUUGAUAGGAAGGGAGCUGAGGACUCCGUUGCAGACAACUUGUCUAGGUUAGAAAAUGUUCUUGAUGACCCACUCCCUAUUGAUGAUAGUUUUCCUGAUGAACAAUUAGCUGUCAUAAAUGCUUCUCGUACUGCUCCAUGGUAUGAUGAUUAUGCUAAUUACAUUGUUGCUAAAUUUAUACCGCCUAGUUUCACAUACCAGCAAAAGAAAAAGUUUUUCUAUGAUUUUAUACAUUACUUCUGGGAUGACCCACACCUUUAUAAAGAAGGACUAGAUGGUGUUAUUAGACGUUGUGUACCUGAGCAUGAACAGGAACAGAUCCUACGCAAGUGUCACUCCAAGGCUUAUGGAGGACACCACGCUGGAGAUAGAACUAGACAUAAGGUAUUGCAAUCCGGUUUUUAUUGGCCUACUCUUUUCAAAGAUGCCAGUAAGUUUGUCUUGUCUUGUGAUGAAUGUCAAAGAAUUGGUAAUAUUAGUAGACGUCAAGAAAUGCCUAUGAACUAUUCACUUGUUAUUGAACCAUUUGAUGUUUGGGCCUUUGAUUAUAUGGGACCGUUUCCUUCCUCUAAUUGGUAUACACAUAUUUUAGUUGUUGUUGAUUACAUUACUAAGUGGGUAGAAGUUAUUCCAACUAGUAGUGCUGAUCAUAACACCUCUAUUAAGAUGCUUAAAGAAGUUAUUUUUCCGAGGUUUGGAGUCCCUAGAUAUUUAAUGACUGAUGGUGGUUCACAUUUUAUUCAUGGUGCUUUUCGUAAAAUGCUUUCUAAGUAUGAUGUUAAUCAUAGAAUUUCAUCUCCAUACCGCCCAUAGUCUAGUCGUCAAGUAGAACUAAGUAAUAGAGAGAUUAAAUUAAUUUUGCAAAAGACUGUUAAUAGAUCUAGAAAGAAUUGGUCCAAGAAACCUGAUGAUGCAUUAUGGGCCUAUAGAACUACAUAUAAAAAUCCUAUGGGUAUGUCUCCGUAUAAAAUGGUUUAUGGAAAAGCAUGUGACUUACCUCUCAAACUAGAACAUAAGGCAUAUUGCGCCAUUAAAGAGCUCAAUUAUGAUUUCAAACUUUCCGGUGAGAAGAGACUUUUUGACAUUAGCUCACUUGAUGAGUGGAGAACCCAGGCCUAUGAGAAUGCCACACUAUUUAAAGAAAAAGUUAAAAUAUGUCAUGACAAAAGGAUACAAAAACGUGAGUUUAAUGUAGGUGAUUAUGUUUUGUUAUACAACUCUCGUUUAAGAUUUUUUGCAGGAAAACUCUUCUCUAAAUGGGAAGGUCCUUACGUUAUCGACGAGGUCUAUCAUUUUGGUGCCAUAAAAAUCAACAACUUCAAAGGCACAAAUCCGAAGGUGGUGAAUGGUCAAAGAAUCAAACAUUAUAUCUCGGGUAAUCCCACAAAUGUUGAAACCAAUGUUAUUGACACCGUAACCCUGGAGGAGUACAUAAGGGACACUUUCCAGAACGUUACAGACUCCGAAAAGGAAUAGGUAUGUGGUACAGUAAGUAAACCGACUCCAAAACAGUUCUAACAGCAAUUUUUUCCAUUUUGGAAUCCUUAAGAAAAUAGGAAAAUAAGAAGUAGUCCGGAAAGGACACAAGGAAUCCACGAGGGUGGAGGGCGCACCCUACCCCUUGGGAGCGCCCUCAUGCCUCGUGGGCACCUCGUGUUCCCAUCGGACUCCGUUUUCUUACACAAUACUUCUUCUGGUCGAUAAAAAUUCAUUAUAUAAUCUCCCGAAGAUUUUGACCACCGUACCACGACAAAAUCCUCUAUUUUUGUUUUGAGUCGUUUCUGCCGUAGAUUAGAGCAAUAUAUCAUCCCAGGAUUCGGAGGGAGAAAGCUAUGUGGCUGAUUAACUUGCAGACCCUAAGGUCUACGAGGACUUGGAGCAUUGUGGUUGGACCACAGAGGAAGAAGAAGACUAUGAUCCUAGGGGAUAGGAGGAGAUGAGAUCAGAUGAAGAUGAAGUCCCAUUACCUCAACCUAUGGACAUGCAUGUGGAGUUCAAAAAGUCAAGCCUCCCUGAUAGAGCAAAGAAACCUAAGAUCGAGUUUAUCCCUUUUCACCUCUUGCAGGAGAGCAAACAGGAACUAUGCAGAAAGAUAUUAAGCCUGGAGUAGGAGAUCGAUGACCUAAGGGAGCAAAAUUCUAUCCUCAAGCGCAAAUUAAGGAAGAAGCCUACGUCAUCAACAACUCCAUCAUCACCACCUCCAAAGAAAGAGACAUAAACACAUGGGUAUGGGCACUCCCCUUGGAAACUACCAAGCUUGGGGGAGGUGCCCCGAUAUCGUAUCACCAUCACACUUCUAUCUUUAACAUUUUUCUUUGUAUGAUCCUUUUGGUUAUAUCUUGAUCUAGUAGAAUAAAGUUUAGUAUGAUCUAGCUUUGAGUUUUUGUGUUGAUCCUUAUCUAUGUAAUCGAGUUCGUGAGCUAUAUAUAAUAAAGAUUAGUCAUGAGUCGAGGGCUUGGUUAUCUUACUAUGAUCUUGAGGGAAUAAAAGAAAAAAGAAAGAAUAAAAAGAAAUAAAGAGAUCAUAUUGAUCUUAUGGAGAGUAAUGACUUCACAUAUAAAGAGUAUGAUGAAUAAAAGUUGUUGAGAGUUGACAAACAUAGUUUUGGUCAUCGUUGCAAUUAAUAGGAAGUAAUAAACAAAGAGAGGUUUUCAAAUAUAAAUAUACUAUCUUGGACAUCUUUUAUGAUUGUGAGCACUCAUUAAAAUAUGAUAUGCUAAAAAGUUGACGUUGGACAAGGAAGACAACGUAAUGGGUUAUGUUUUCUUAUAUCUGAAAUAAAUUAUAUUGUCAUGGAUCAUCCAACAUGUUGAGCUUGCCUCCCCCCUCAUGCUAGCCAAAUUCUUUGCACCAAGUAGAGAUACUACUUGUGCUUCCAAAUAUCCUUAAACCCAGUUUUGCCAUGAGAGUCCAUCGUAUCUACCUAUGGAUUGAGUAAGAUCCUUCAAGUAAGUUGUCAUUGUUGCAAGCAAUAAAAAAUGCUCUCUACAUAUGUAUGAUCUAUUAGUGUGGAGAAAAUAAGCUUUAUACGAGCUUGUGACAGACUACAUAAUAAAGGUCCCUAUCACAAGUGGCAAUAUAAAGUGACGUCCUUUUGCAUUAAGAUUUUGUGCAUCCAACCAUAAAAGCACAUGAUAAUCUCUGCUUCCCUCUACGAAGGGCCUAUCUUUUAUUUUUGUCUUAUACCUUAUACAAGAGUCUUGGUGAUCUUCACCUUUCCUUUUUACACUUUAUCACUUGGCAAGCACUAUGUGUUGGAAAGAUCCUGAUAUGUAUAUCCAAUUGGAUGUGGGUUUUCAUAAAGCAUUAUUGUUGACGUUACCCUUGAGUUAAAAGGUUGGGAGGCAAAACUAUAAGCCCCUAUCUUUCUCUGUGUCCGAUUAAAACUUCAUACUCAUAAGUAUUGCGUGAGUGUUAGCAAUUGUGAAAGACUAAAUGAUACUCCCUGCGUUCCAAAUUACUCGUCGCAAAAAUGGAUGUAUCUACAACUAAAAUACUUCUAGAUACAUCCAUACCUACGACAAGUAAUUUGGAACAGAGGGAGUAGUUGAGUAUGUGGACUUGCUGAAAAGCUCUUAUAUUGACUCUUUCCGAUGUUAUGAUAAAUUGCAAUUGUUUCAAUGACUAAGAUCAUAGUUUGCUAGUUUUUCAAUGGAGUUUCUGAUUCAUACUCUACAUUGUGAAUAGAUUGUUACUUCAAUAUAAGAAAUCGUAUGACAAUACAUAUAUGUUGCUAUUAUAAGAAUGAUCAUGAUGCCCUCAUGUCUGUAUUUUAUUUUAUCGACACCUCUAUCUCUAAACAUGUGGACAUAUUUUUGGAUAUCGGCUUCUGCUUAAGGAUAGGCGAGGUCUAAGCUUGGGGGAGUUGAUACAUCCAUUUUGCAUCAUGCUUUUAUAUCGAUAUUUAUUGCAUUAUGGGAUGUUAUUACACAUUAUGUCACAAUACUUAUGCCUUUUCUCUCUUAUUUUACAAGGUUUACAUGAAGAGGGAGAAUGCCGGCAGCUGGAAUUCUAGGCUGGAAAAGGAGCAAAUAUUAGAAAUCCAUUCUGCACAACUCCAAAAGUCCUGAAACUCCAUGAAAGUCGGUUUUGGAAUGUAUUAAAAAUAUUGGGCGAAGAAAGCACCAGAGGGGGGCCACCCAGUGUCCACGAGGGUGGAGGGUGCGCCAUACCCCCCUAUGCGCGCCCCUGCCUCGUGGGCUACCUGGAAGCCCCCCGAUGCCCAUCUUCUAGUAUAAGGUGUAUUUUUCCCUGGAAAAAAUCAUAAGGAAGCUUUUGGGACGAAGCGCCACCGUCUCGAGGCGGAACCAAUCUAGGGCUCCGACGGAGCUGUUCUACUGGGAAACAUCCCUCCGGGAGGGGGAAAUCGUCACCAUCGUCAUCACCAUCGAUCCUCUCAUCGGGAAGGGGUCAAUCUCCAUCAACAUAUUCACCAACACCAUCUCCUCUCAAACCCUAGUUCAUCUCUUGUAUCCGAUCUUUGUCUCAAAACCUCAGAUUGGUACAUGUGGGUUGCUAGUAGUGUUGAUUACUCCUUGUAGUUGAUGCUAGUUGGUUUAUUCGGUGGAAGAUUAUAUGUUCAGAUCCUUUAUGCACAUUAAUACCCCUCUGAUUAUGAACAUGAAUAUGAUUUGUGAGUAGUUACGUUUGUUCCCGAGGACAUGGGAGAAGUCUUCUUAUAAGUAGUCAUGUGAAUUUGGUAUUUGUUCGAUAUUUUGAUGAGAUGUAUGUUGUCUUUCCUCUAGUGGUGUUAUGUGAACGUAGACUACAUGGCAUUUCACCAUUGUUUGGGCCUAGGGUAAGGCAUUGGGAAGUAUUAAGUAGAUGAUGGGUUGCUAGAGUGACAGAAGCUUAAACCCUAGUUUAUGUGUUGCUUCGUAAGGGGCUGAUUUGGAUCCAUAUGUUUCAUGCAAUGGUUAGGUUUACCUUAAUUCUUCUUUCAUAGUUGCGGAUGCUUGCGAGGGGGCUAAUCGUAAGUGGGAUGCUUGUCCAAGUGUCGGUGUAAAAACCGGCGGAUCUCAGGUAGGGGGUCCCGAACUGUGCGUCUAAGGCGGAUGGUAACAGGAGGCGGGGGACACGAUGUUUACCCAGGUUCGGGCACUCUCGAUGGAGGUAAUACCCUACUUCCUGCUUGAUUGAUCUUGAUGAUAUGAGUAUUACAAGAGUUGAUCUACCACGAGGUCGUAGAGGCUAAACCCUAGAAGUUAGCCUAUGGUAUGAUUGUUGUUGUCCUACGGACUAAACUCUUCGGUUUAUAUAAACACCGGAGGGGGCUAGGGUUACGUAGAGUCGGUUACAAGGGAGGAGAUCUACAUAUCCGUAUUGCCAAGCUUGCCUUCCACGCCAAGGUAAGUCCCAUCCGGACACGGGACGAAGUCUUUAAUCCUGUAUGUUCAUAGUCCAACAGUUCGGCCAAAGGAUAUAGUCCGGCUGUCCGGAGACCCCCUAAUCCAGGACUCCCUCAGUAGCCCCUAAACCAGGCUUCAAUGACGAUGAGUCCGGCGUGCAGAUUUGUCUUCAGCAUUGCAAGGCGGGUUCUUCCUCCGAAUACUCCAUAGAAUACUUUGAACACAAGGAUAGUGUCCGGCUCUGCAAAACAAGUUCCACAUACCACCAUAGAGAGAAUGAUAUUUCCACAAAUCUAAUCUGCUGACAGGUUUAGCAACAUGACAUCAUGUCAUGGCCCGGUCAUUAUUCGAACUGUUUUUCUCAACCAGCACUACACAUAUCGCGAGGCGGUUUUCUUGACACGUCUUGUCGAAGUAGAGAUCAUGUCCCCCUUAUUACGGGAUUCUCAUCAAUACGGAGGUGCGUAACCCAAUCGUGCCCGUUGGUAUGACUCCUCGAUUUUAGGCAAGUCCCAAACGACCACGAGGAGGGCGCUUGAUAUUCACCCUCUUUAUAAAGAGGCCAAGGCCUGUCCUUUUUUCCCUCUCGUACUCAAUCGAAUCCUUCCCCCGCCUCGAGUUCUAACACCCAAGGCUCAGGUCAAGCGCUUCGGACCUUCAACCAUGUCCGGAUCCAACCAUCAAGGUCGGUGGAUGCCUUCCUCUGCCACAGAGGAAGACAUCAAGAAGCUAAGAGAGGCCAGGUAUUUGACCUUCGAAAUCUUGCACAGGCUGGCUGCUCGAGGGCAGGUCAUUCCCACUCCCGAACCCGGCGAGAGCGUUGUGUUCAUCUCUCACUUCCUCUGAGGGCUAGGCCUCGCUGUGGAUCCCUUUGUUAGGGGGAUCAUGUUCUAUUAUGGGCUGGAUUUCCAUGACCUAGCCCCGGAUUCCAUCCUUCACAUCUCGUCGCUCAUCGACGUGUGUGAGGCCUUCCUCCGCAUUACCCCCCCACUUCGGCCUGUGGCUCAAGACUUUCAAUGUGAGGCCGAAGAUGAUCGAGGGGCGACACGCAGAGUGCGAAGGUGCCGUAAUAAGCAAAGGCGCCGAUGUUCCAUGGCCAAAAGGUUCCUUCCCGGAGGUGUCCAGUUUAUGGCAAUGGGAGUGGUUUUAUAUCACAGCUCCCCGGAGUACCAAGUGGGUGGCCGCCCCUGCCUUUCGCUCGGGCCCCCCACCACAACUAACGUCAUGGAUGAACAAGGGGCUGGACUGGGGGACAGUAAAUGAUGUGCCGAUAUUGCAGAGUCGUAUCUGAGAUCUCCUCGAGAGAGAUGUCAGCCUGGUCACGGUAAUGCAAGUCAUGCUAGUUCGUCGAGUCCCGCCUUGCAAACGUCGACCCCUCCGUAUGUGGCAAUUCAACCUGGAAGGACCGCGAACUAUUCAGCACUUCCUUGGCAUGACGCUCGAAGAGAUGUACAAAUUGUUCUUUAGACCACAAAUAAAGUGUCCGGACACCACCGAGGAUGCGGGUUGAGCUGUAAUCACCCAGAUACCCAAGUAAGUAAUCCCGUGGCCGAACAGGCUGUCUUUUUUAUUUAUCACAACAUCAUUCUGAAAAGUCGCUCUUUGACCAGGAUUGGGUAACAAAGGCGAAGGUGAUCAAGUGUUUGGCCCCCCUUCCCGAAGGCUCGGCCGAUCCAGUACUAGCCAGAAUGCUCGAGCCGACGCCUUAUCAAGCGCCCUAAGGGGAAGAUAAAGGGGGGAAUAAAGAGGCUGAAAGCAGGCCUCACUCAUUAUUCAUCCAAAUCGGGGGAAUUAGCGCCUCCGCGAAGGAGGAUAACCAGGGAGAAGAAUCUGAAAUUCCCUCUCCCCAAGGAAGGAAGAGGACCACCUCUGAAGACCCGGAAACAAAGGUUUCCAAACAGGGGAAGAACUCUUCGCCAGAAGGUCCUACCUCGGAGGGUACUCUUGCCGCAUAGUGCCCGCAAGGGUAUCAGCCCUCUACCGAGCUGUAAGUAAACAAAAAGUACUUAAUAGUAAAAAUAUCAUACAUUACUUCUGAAGACAAUAACCGAAGCAUAUAUCUUGUAGUUCGGAUCGUAGCCUUUCUUGACAGAGUUCGUCUUCAAGGGAUCUUCUUCCGGAGAUGAUGGAGAGCGAAACACCUCACCAUGCCACCCCGCCACAUGAGGCGGGCAAUCCUGAAUUGUCGUUGCGGAGGGUUUCUCCUGAUCCGCCAAGUCCAGAGAGUAAUCCUUCGGCCACCCGAAGUCCUCAGUAUUCGGCUCCUAAAGAGAGCAACAUAAAGAGUCUGGAACCGUCCGGUGUGCGCUCGGACGCACUGAAGGAUCUUCUGGAGCAAGCGGUCAUCUCAGAAGUACAUCGUACGCUAAUGGGUACGGUGAUUGAGAGGAUUUCAUCUGCCGAAAGCGGGUUGCAUGAAGCUUUUAUGAGUUUGCUGAAAGGCUUCGAGGUACAUGAAAUAGUGUAUGUUUUUGAUAGUACUGCAAAUGUUAGGUGUGCCCUAUGCAGAUAGUAUGCCUACAUCGUGCUUGUCAACAAGCGGCUCGACAAGGCACAGGGUAUGUGAUUUCUCCGGUGAUCAACACAUAGUAAGAGGAGCAUGAUGCUAGUAUAUUUAAUAUGUUGUGACUGCAGAUGGAGCUGCCGCCGUGGAGACCCUUUGGGAGGAACUUGCCCGAGCCAAGGAACAAGCCAGGAAUAGUGAUGCGGCCGCUCUAAAGGAGGUCGAAGAGCUGAGGGCUGAACAAGCUGCGCAUUGCCAAAGCAAGAAAAAAUAGCCAAGAUGGACGUUGAGUUGAAAGAUGCCGCUGACCGUUACCAGCUUCUUGAAAAAGAAAGUUGAGUGAAGGCGACGGAGCUGGAGAAGGCCAUGGUAGUAGCCAAGGAAGCCCGCUCUAAAAUCAGAGCGGCGAAGGAGGAGCUGCAUCAAGCUGGAGAUAUCACCGCUGGGAAGCCAUUUUUGUUGCGGACGAAGUUCACAGAUCCGAAGUAUGCCCCUCUUGAUCAACUAUAGAGUUCUGCAGACACAUACAUGGAUUUGGCAGCUAGUGCUGCUGAUGCAGCCGAGUACUUCAAGGAUCAAAAGGAUCAUGAAGUGGAAAGGCUAUUUUGGUCACAGUUCCAUGUUCCAGUGCGUCCGCUGCUGUUGAAUGAGCGAAUGGCCGAGUGGGCCGAGCUCAAUAGGUUGUCCGGGCUUGCCAUGAGGUCUGUUGUGGAUCAUCUGUGGCCGGAAGGGCCAAGGCUGAAUAGUUAUUUUAGUUUAGUGCAAUAGUUCCUUGGUGCUGUGCCGCACAUCGAUGCUAUGAAGAGGUCGGCGUGCAUAGAGGGUGCGCGUAUGGCACUUGCCCGUGUCAAGACAUACUGGGUAGAGAUGGAGGCCACCGCUAUUGCAACCCAGAGUCCGGUCGUAGGCCGAGUAUCUGUCGAGCACUACUUUGAAGAAGUCCUUGAAGGCGCUUGUUCAAUAGAGGCUCAGUGCUCGAAGAAUAUUAUGUUCUAGUGACAUGUAUUUGUUGGAAAUAUGCCCUAGAGGCAAUAAUAAAAGUAUUAUUAUUAUAUUUCCUUGUUCAUGAUAAUUGUCUUUAUUCAUGCUAUAAUUGUGUUAUCUAGAAAUCGUAAUACAUGUGUGAAUAACAGACACCAACAUGUCCCUAGUAAGCCUCUAGUUGACUAGCUCGUUGAUCAAUAGAUAGUCAUGGUUUCCUGACUAUGGACAUUGGAUGUCAUUGAUAACGAGAUCACAUCAUUAGGAGAAUGAUGUGAUGGACAAGACCCAAUCCUAAACAUAGCACAAGAUUGUAUAGUUCGUUUGCUAGAGUUUUCCAAUGUCAAGUAUCCUUUCCUUAGACCAUGAGAUCGUGUAACUCCCAAAUACCGUAGGAGUGCUUUGGGUGUACCAAACGUCACAACGUAACUGGGUGACUAUAAAGGUAUACUAUGGGUAUCUCCGAAAGUGUAUGUUGGGUUGACACGGAUCAAGACUGGGAUUUGUCACUCCGUAUGACGGAGAGGUAUCACUGGGCCCACUCAGUAAUGCAUCAUCAUAAUGAGCUCAAAGUGACCAAGUGUCUGGUCACGGGAUCAUGCAUUACGGUACGAGUAAAGUGACUUGCCGGUAACAAGAUUGAACGAGGUAUUGGGAUACCGACGAUCGAAUCUCGGGCAAGUAACAUAUCGAUUGACAAAGGGAAUUGCAUACGGAGUUGCUUGAAUCCUCGACAUCAUGGUUCAUCCGAUGAGAUCAUCGUGGAGCAUGUGGGAGCCAACAUGGGUAUCCAGAUCCCGCUGUUGGUUAUUGACCGGAGAGCCGUCUCGGUCAUGUCUGCCUGUCUCCCGAACCCGUAGGGUCUACACACUUAAGGUUCGGUGAUGCUAGGGUUGUAGGGAUAUGUAUAUGCAGUAACCCGAAUGUUGUUCGGAGUCCCGGAUGAGAUCCCGGACGUCACGAGGAGUUCCGGAAUGGUCCGGAGGUAAAGAAUUAUAUAUAGGAAGUGUUGUUUCGGCCAUCGGGACAAGUUUCGGGGUCACCGGUAUUGUACCGGGACCACCGGAAGGGUCCCGGGGGCCCACCGGGUGGGGCCACCUGCCCCGGGGGGCCACAUGGGCUGUAGGGGGUGCGCCUUGGCCUACAUGGGCCAAGGGCACCAGCCCCAAGAGGCCCAUGCGCCUAGGGUUCCAAAAGGGGAAGAGUCCCACAAGUGGAAGGCACCCCCUAGGUGCCUUGGGGGGAGGGAAACCUCCCUUGGCCGCCUCCCCCUAGGAGAUUGGAUCUCCUAGGCCGGCGCCCCCCCCUUGGCCCUCCUAUAUAUAAGGGGGAAGGAGGGCUUUUUGAUCCACGCCUUUGGUUGCCUCCUUCUCCCUCUCCAACACCUCCUCCUCCUCCAUAGUGCUUAGCGAAGCCCUGCCGGAGUACUGCAGCUCCAUCACCACCAUGCCGUCGUGCUGCUGCUGGAGCCAUCUUCCUCAACCUCUCCUCUCCCCUUGCUGGAUCAAGAAGAAGGAGACGUUACGCUGACCGUACGUGUGUUGAACGCGGAGGUGCCGUCCGUUCGGUGCUAGGAUCUCCGGUGAUUUGGAUCACGUCGUGUUCGACUACAUCAUCCCCGUUCUUUGAACGCUUCCGCUCGCGAUCUACAAAGGUAUGUAGAUGCAUCCGAUCACUCGUUGCUAGAUGAACUCAUAAAUGGAUCUUGGUGAAACCGUAGGAAAUUUUUUGUUUUCUGCAACGUUCCCCAACAGUGGCAUCAUGAGCUAGGUCUAUGCGUAGUUCUUCUUGCACGAGUAGGACACAAUUUGUUGUGGGCGUAGAUUUGUCAACUUUCUUGCCGCUACUAGUCUUAUCUUGCUUCAGCGGUAUUGUGGGAUGAAGCGGCCCGGACCAACCUUACACGUACGCUUACGUGAGACCGGUUCCACAGACUAACAUGCACUAGUUGCAUAAGGUGGCUGGCGGGUGUCUGUCUCUCCCACUUUAGUUGGAGCGGAUUCGAUGAAAAGGGUCCUUAUGAAGGGUAAAUAGAAGUUGACAAAUCACAUUGUGGCUUUCACGUAGGUAAGAAAACGUUCUUGCUAGAACCCUGAUUCAGCCACGUAAAACUUGCAACAACAAUUAGAGGACGUCUAACUUGUUUUUGCAGCAAGUGCUUUGUGAUAUGAUAUGGCCAAAGUUGUGAUGAAUGAUGAAUGAUCUAUAUGUGAUGUAUGAGAUGUUCAUGCUAUUGUAAUAGGAAUCACGACUUGCAUGUCGAUGAGUAUGACAACCGGCAGGAGCCAUAGGAGUUGUCUUUAUUUUUUAUAUGACCUGCGUGUCAUUGAGAAACGCCAUGUAAAUUACUUUACUUUAUUGCUAAACGCGUUAGCCAUUGUAGUAGAAGUAAUAGUUGGCGAGCAACUUCAUGGAGACACGAUGAUGGAGAUCAUGAUGAUGGAGAUCAUGGUGUCAAGCCGGUGACAAGAUGAUCAUGGAGCCCCAAGAUGGAGAUCAAAGGAGCAAUGUGAUAUUGGCCAUAUCAUGUCACGUUUAUUAUUUGAUUGGAUGUGAUGUUUAUCAUGUUUUUGCAUCUUGUUUACUUAGAACGACGGUAGUAAAUAAGAUGAUCCCUCAUAAUAAUUUCAAGAAGUGUUCCCCCUAACUAUGCACCGUUGCGACAGUUUGUUGUUUUGAAGCACCACGUGAUGAUCGGGUGUGAUAGAUUCUAACGUUCACAUACAACGGGUGUAAGACAGAUUUACACAUGCAAACACUUAGGUUGACUUGACGAGCCUAGCAUGUACAGACAUGGCCUCGGAACACAGAAGACCGAAAGGUCGAGCAUGAGUCAUAUAGAAGAUACGAUCAACAUGAAGAUGUUCACCGACGUUGACUAGUCCGUCUCACGUGAUGAUCGGACACGGCCUACUCGGAUCAUGUUAUACUUAGAUGACUAGAAGAGGGAUGUCUAUCUAAGUGGGAGUUCAUUGAAUAAUUUGAUUAGAUGAACUUAAUUAUCAUGAACUUAGUCUAAAAUAUUUACAAUAUGUCUUGUAGAUCAAAUGGCCAACGUAGUCCUCAACUUCAACGCGUUCCUAGAGAAAACCAAGCUGAAAGAUGAUGGCAGCAACUAUACGGAUUGGGUCCGGAACCUGAGGAUCAUCCUCAUAGCUGCCAAGAAAGAUUAUGUCCUACAAGCACCGCUGGGUGACGCACCUGUUCUCCCUGCAAAACAAGACGUACCGAUGACUACUCCCUCGUUCAGUGCGGCAUGCUUUACAGUUUAGAGCUAGGGCUCCAAAAGCGUUUUGAGAGACACGGAGCAUAUGAGAUGUUCGAAGAGCUGAAAAUGGUUUUCCAAGCUCAUGCCCGGGUCGAGGGAUAUGAAGUCUCCGACAAAUUCUUCAGCUGUAAGAUGGAGGAAAAUAGUUCUGUCAGUGAGCACAUACUCACUAUGUCUGGGUUACAUAACCGCUUGACUCAGCUGGGAGUUAAUCUCCCGGAUGAUGCGGUCAUUUACAGAAUCCUCCAGUCGCUUCCACCAAGCUACAAGAGCUUUGUGAUGAACUUCAAUAUGCAGGGGAUGGAAAAGACCAUUCCUGAAGUAUUUGCUAUGCUGAAAUCAGCAGAGGUAGAAGUCAAGAAGGAACAUCAAGUGUUGAUGGUCAAUAAAACCACUAAGUUCAAGAAGGGCAAGGGUAAAAAGAACUUCAAGAAGGACGGCAAGGUAGUUGCCGCGCCCAGCAAGCAAGCUGCCGGGAAGAAGCCAAAGAAUGGACCCAAGCCCAAGACUGAGUGCUUUUAUUGCAAGGGAAGUGGUCACUGGAAGCGGAAUUGCCCCAAAUACUUAGCGGACAAGAAGGACGGCAAAACAAAAGGUAUAUGUGAUAUAUAUGUAAUUGAUGUGUACCUUACCAGUACUCGUAGUAGAUCUUGGGUAUUUGAUACCGGUGCAGUUGCUCACAUUUGUAACUCAAAGCAGGAGCUGCGGAAUAAGCGGAGACUGGCAAAGGACGAGGUGACGAUGCGCGUCGGGAAUGGUUCCAAGGUCGAUGUGAUCGCCGUCGGCACGCUGCCUCUUCAUUUACCUACGGGAUUAGUUUUAAACCUCAAUAAUUGUUAUUUAGUGCCAGCUUUGAGCAUGAACAUUGUAUCGGGAUCUCGUUUAAUUCGAGAUGGCUACUCAUUUAAAUCCGAGAAUAAUGGUUGUUCUAUUUAUAUGAGAGAUAUGUUUUAUGGUCAUGCUCCUAUGGUGAAUGGUUUAUUCUUAAUGAAUCUCGAGCGUAAUGCUACACAUGUUCAUAGUGUGAAUACCAAAAGAUGUAAGGUUGAUAAUGAUAGUACCACAUACUUGUGGCACUGCCGCCUUGGUCACAUAGGUGUCAAACGCAUGAAGAAGCUCCAUGCAGUUGGACUUUUAGAGUCUCUUGAUUAUGAAUCAUUUGACACGUGCGAACCAUGCCUCAUGGGUAAAAUGACCAAGACUCCGUUCUCAGGAACAAUGGAGCGAGCAACCAACUUAUUGGAAAUCAUACAUACUGAUGUGUGCGGUCCAAUGAGUGUUGAGGCUCGCGGUGGCUAUCGUUAUGUUCUCACCCUCACUGAUGACUUGAGUAGAUAUGGGUAUAUCUACUUAACGAAACACAAGUCUGAAACCUUUGAAAAGUUCAAGGAAUUUCAGAGUGAGGUUGAGAAUCAACGUGACAGAAAAAUCAAGUUUCUACGAUCAGAUCGUGGAGGAGAAUACUUGAGUCACGAAUUUGGCACACACUUAAGAAAAUGUGGAAUAGUUUCACAACUCACGCCGCCUGGAACACCUCAGCGUAAUGGUGUGUCUGAACGUUGUAAUCACACUCUAUUAGAUAUGGUACGAUCUAUGAUGUCUCUUACCGAUUUACCGCUAUCUUUUUGGGGCUAUGCUUUAGAGACUGCCACAUUCACUUUAAAUAGGGCUCCGUCGAAAUCCGUUGAGACGACACCGUAUGAAUUAUGGUUUGGGAAGAAACCUAAGCUGUAAUUUCUAAAAGUUUGGGGAUGCGAUGCUUAUGUCAAGAAACUUCAACCUGAAAAGCUCGAACCCAAGUCGGAAAAAUGCGUCUUCAUAGGAUACCCUAAAGAAACAAUUGGGUAUACCUUCUACCUCAGAUCCGAAGGCAAGAUCUUUGUUGCCAAGAAUGGAUCCUUUCUAGAGAAAGAGUUUCUCUCGAAAGAAGUAAGUGGGAGGAAAGUAGAACUUGAUGAAGUAUUACCUCUUGAACCAGAAAAUGGCACAACUCAAGAAAAUGUUCCUGAGGUGCCUGCACCGACUAGAGAGGAAGUUAAUGAUAAUGAUCAAGAUACUUCUGAUCAAGCUUCUACUGAAAUUCGAAGGUCCACAAGGACACGUUCCACACCAGAGUGGUACGGCAACCCUGUCUUGGAAAUCAUGUUGUUAGACAACGAUGAACCUUCGAACUAUGAAGAAGCGGUGGCGGGCCAGGAUUCCGACAAAUGGCUAGAAGCCAUGAAAUCCGAGAUAGGAUCCAUGUAUGAAAGCAAAGUAUGGACUUUGACUGACUUGCCCGUUGAACGGCGAGCCAUAGAAAAUAAAUGGAUCUUUAAGAAGAAGACAGACGCGGAUGGUAAUGUGACCAUCUAUAAAGCUCGGCUUGUCGCUAAGGGUUAUCGACAAGUUCAAGGGGUUGACUACGAUGAGACUUUCUCACCGGUAGCGAAACUAAAGUCCGUCCGAAUCAUGUUAGCAAUUGCCGCAUUCUACGAUUAUGAGAUAUGGCAAAUGGACAUCAAAACGGCAUUCCUUAAUGGUUUCCUUAAGGAAGAAUUGUAUAUGAUGCAGCCGGAAGGUUUUGUCGAUCCUAAGAAUGCUGACAAGGUGUGCAAGCUCCAACGCUCGAUUUAUGGGCUGGUGCAAGCAUCUCGGAGUUGGAACAUUCGCUUUGAUGAGAUGAUCAAAGCGUUUGGGUUUACGCAGACUUAUGGAGAAGCCUACGUUUACAAGAAAGUGAGUGGGAGCUCUGUAGCAUUUCUCAUACUAUAUGUAGAUGACAUACUUUUGAUGGUAAAUGAUAUAGAACUCUUGGACAACAUUAAGGCCUACUUGAAUAAGAGUUUUUCAAUGAAGGACCUUGGAGAAGCUGCUUAUAUAUUAGGCAUCAACAUCUAUAGAGAUAGAUCGAGACGCCUCAUAGGUCUUUCACAAAGCACAUACCUUGAUAAGAUAUUGAAGAAGUUCAAUAUGGAUCAGUCUAAGAAGGGGUUCUUGCCUGUGUUACUAGGUGUGAAAUUGAGCUUUGCUCAAUGUCCCACCACGGCAGAAGAUAUAGAAGAGAUGAGUGUCAUCCCCUAUGCCUCAGCCAUAGGUUCUAUUAUGUAUGCCAUGCUGUGUACUAGACCUGAUGUAAACCUUGCCGUAAGUUUGGUAGGAAGGUACCAAAGUAAUCCCGGCAAGGAACACUGGACAGCGGUCAAGAAUAUCCUGAAGUACCUGAAAAGGACUAAGGAAAUGUUUCUCGUUUACGGAGGUGACGAAGAGCUCGUCGUAAAGGGUUACGUCGACGCUAGCUUCGACACAGAUCUGGAUGACUCUAAGUCACAAACCGGAUACGUGUAUAUUUUGAAUGGUGGGGCAGUAAGCUGGUGCAGUUGCAAGCAGAGCGUCGUGGCGGGAUCUACAUGUGAAGCGGAGUACAUGGCAGCCUCGGAGGCAGCACAUGAAGCAAUUUGGGUGAAGGAGUUCAUCACCAACCUAGGAGUCAUACCCAAUGCGUCGGGGCCAAUCAAACUCUUCUGUGACAACACUGGAGCUAUUGCACUUGCCAAGGAGCCCAGGUUUCACAAGAAGACAAGGCACAUCAAGCGUCGCUUCAACUCCAUUCGUGAAAAUGUUCAAGAUGGAGACAUAGAUAUUUGUAAAGUACAUACGGACCUGAAUGUAGCAGAUCCGUUGACUAAACCUCUCCCUAGAGCAAAACAUGAUCAACACCAGAAUUCCAUGGGUGUUCGAUUCAUCAUAAUGUAACUAGAUUAUUGACUCUAGUGCAAGUGGGAGACUGUUGGAAAUAUGCCCUAGAGGCAAUAAUAAAAGUAUUAUUAUUAUAUUUCCUUAUUCAUGAUAAUUGUCUUUAUUCAUGCUAUAAUUGUGUUAUCCAGAAAUCGUAAUACAUGUGUGAAUAACAGACACCAACAUGUCCCUAGUAAGCCUCUAGUUGACUAGCUCGUUGAUCAACAGAUAGUCAUGGUUUCCUAACUAUGGACAUUGGAUGUCAUUGAUAACGAGAUCACAUCAUUAGGAGAAUGAUGUGAUGGACAAGACCCAAUCCUUAACAUAGCACAAGAUCGUAUAGUUCGUUUGCUAGAGUUUUCCAAUGUCAAGUAUCCUUUCCUUAGACCAUGAGAUCGUGUAACUCCCGGAUACCGUAGGAGUGCUUUGGGUGUACCAAACGUCACAACGUAACUGGGUGACUAUAAAGGUAUACUACGGGUAUCUCCGAAAGUGUCUGUUGGGUUGACACGGAUCAAGACUGGGAUUUGUCACUCCGUAUGACGGAGAGGUAUCACUGGGCCCACUCGGUAAUGCAUCAUCAUAAUGAGAUCAAAGUGACCAAGUGUCUGGUCACGGGAUCAUGCAUUACGGUACGAGUAAAGUGACUUGCUGGUAACGAGAUUGAACGAGGUAUUGGGAUACCGACGAUCGAAUCUCGGGCAAGUAACAUAUCGAUUGACAAAGGGAAUUGCAUACGGAGUUGCUUGAAUCCUCGACAUCGUGGUUCAUCCGAUGAGAUCAUCGUGGAGCAUGUGGGAGCCAACAUUUGUAUCCAGAUCCCGCUGUUGGUUAUUGACCGGAGAGCCGUCUCGGUCAUGUCUGCCUGUCUCCCGAACCCGUAGGGUCUACACACUUAAGGUUCGGUGACGCUAGGGUUGUAGGGAUAUGUAUAUGCAGUAACCCAAAUGUUGUUCGGAGUCCCAGAUGAGAUCCCGGACGUCACGAGGAGUUCCAGAAUGGUCCGGAGGUAAAGAAUUAUAUAUAGGAAGUGCUGUUUCGGCCAUCGGGACAAGUUUCGGGGUCAUCGGUAUUGUACCGGGACCACCGGAAGGGUCCCGAGGGCCCACCGGGUGGGGCCACCUGCCCCGGGGGGCCACAUGGGCUGUAGGGGGUGCACCUUGGCCUACAUGGGCCAAGGGCACCAGCCCCAAGAGGCCCAUGCGCCUAGGGUUCCAAAAGGGGAAGAGUCCCACAAGUGGAAGGCACCCCCUAGGUGCCUUGGGGGGGAGGGAAACCUCCCUUGGCCGCCGCCCCCUAGGAGAUUGGAUCUCCUAGGCCGGCGCCCCCCCUUGGCCCUCCUAUAUAUAAGUGGGGAAGGAGGGCUUUUUGAUCCACGCCUUUGGUUGCCUCCUUCUCCCUCUCCAACACCUCCUCCUCCUCCAUAGUGCUUAGCGAAGCCCUGCCGGAGUACUGCAGCUCCAUCACCACCACGCCGUCGUGCUGCUGCUGGAGCCAUCUUCCUCAACCUCUCCUCUCCCCUUGCUGGAUCAAGAAGAAGGAGACGUUACGCUGACCGUACGUGUGUUGAACGCGGAGGUGCCGUCCGUUCGGUGCUAGGAUCUCCGGUGAUUUGGAUCACGUCGUGUUCGACUACAUCAUCCCCGUUCUUUGAACGCUUCCGCUCGCGAUCUACAAAGGUAUGUAGAUGCAUCCGAUCACUCGUUGCUAGAUGAACUCAUAGAUGGAUCUUGGUGAAACCGUAGGAAAUUUUUUGUUUUCUGCAACGUUCCCCAAUAGUAUUCCCAUUGUAAAAACAAUGUUUUACUGAAUUAUAAAGGCUAUGUUUAUACUUUUGCCUGAAAGUAUUAUGAUGCCUCCUGUGUGACCGUUUAUGUAUAUAUGUAUAUAACCUGAAAGUUUGCAGUCGUCGGCUUCAGCCCCCACGCAUAUAAUGCGGGGGUGUUCGCAAAAAACGCAUAUUCACACUUGGUCCAAUGUCUUGGUCCAUUAAGGAGGUGGUAGCGCAGCGAAUGAGGCAAUCGGACUAUAUUGCUUUAACACUUUCACUUAGCCAUAGGAGUUUGACGGUGGGACUACUAUAUAGCCCCUGGUACCUCCACGCUUGUCCGAAUACGGUGCGCGUACGUACAUGACCGGCAAACGGCCCUUCGUUAAUAAGGAGGAAUCCCGAAGAUUCCGCUAAGUCAUCGAGUGGUUGACCAGUCUGGCGCUUUAUCAUGACAGCCAGUUUUCGGCUUUCUCUACUGAGGUGCUCAUCCGGAUGAACCUGGGCACAAUCACAGUAGUUCUCCCGGUGCCACCUUAGCCGAUAGAGCGGAACGUAAGGUAGCAAAACACGGGAGUCGGGCAAACCCAACAUUUGAGCAAAGACAUGAUUCGGAGCUGAUGCAUAUAAGGCCAAGCUCGGGACGCCGAACACUCCCUAAGGUAUAUUCAGACUUUAUAACAUAUUACGGGCUGAACAAUGCCCUUAAUAAUAAACCCCGAGUGUCUAGGUACGUGCAAUAUUCUGACGUGGAGAAAUGCCAAUAAUGUCAGCAUCCUUCUCGGUUGUAUUGAGUAUCCGGAGGAUGUGAGCAACAAGAGACAAUAAAAAGGUUUAUGUAGGGUCUUAAUCUGAAAAGAAACCUUUGAGCGGGUCCUUGCUGCACGUCUGCGCUUGUGUCUCCGUUGUGCCGUGUCCUGGACGGGUGUGGCACAAUUGUCAUCUAUAAAAGAGAAGAACUUAGGUGAAAGUUGUCGUGCCAAAAAAAUUGGUUAUUCUCGAUAAACCAUUAAAAUUCAAGAUAAGUCAAGUUGAGGCGAACUAGCCCUGAUUACACACGGGAAGCCCUUGGUACCGUCUACGAGGGUUUAACCAUCAAACCAAUCUCAGGUAUAUCUAGUGACGCGCCGGACUCGUCUAACUGUGUCCGCGGUCUUGACGACCUGUCAUUUAUUCUGGUUGGUGAGGUCGUCUAGUGCUCGGCUGUUAAAGCAGCCGCACGUUCUUCCGCGUGUAGAGAACGCUCAAUAUUUCCACUAACUGUGAUGGUGCCACAUGGACCAGGCAUCUUAUGCUUAAGAGAAGCGUAAUGUGGUACCACGUUAAAACGAGCGAAAGCUGUUCUUUCGAGUAGUGCUUGAUAGCCGCUUCGGAAUGGAGCAACGUCGAAGUCUAACUUCUCACUUUGGUAGUUGUCGGAUGAACCGAACACAACCUCUAGUAUUAGAGAGCCUGUGGAGCGGGCCUCUGGGACUGGUAGUACUCCCAUGAAGGUAGUAUUACUGUGGCUGAUUUUUGUCGUGUCUAUCCCCAUUUUGCGGACUGUGUCCGGAUAUAUCAGAUUUAGACCACUGCCGCCGUCCAUAAGGACUCGUGUGAGAUGGUAUCCGUUUAUUAUUGGGUCUAACACCAAGGUAGCCAAUCCUUCAUGUCGGAUGCUUGUCGGGUGAUCCCUGCGAUCAAAAGUGAUCGAGCAGGCCAACCAGGGGUUGAACUUAGGGGUGACGGGCUCUACGACGCGUAUGUCUGAGAGUGCAUGUUUGGUUCUCCUCUUCGUCACGUGGAUCAUGUUUACUGUUUUAACCUCUGGUGGGAAUUUUUUCUGUCCUCUAGUGCUUUGCUGGCGAGGUUCGUCCUCGUCUUCACUUGGUGUCUCCCUCCCCUUGUGUUCGGCAUCUAGCUUACCGGCCUGCUUGAAGACCCAGCUUUCUCUGUGGGUGUGAUUUGCAGGUUUAUGGGGGGUGCCAUGAAUCUGACAUAGUUUGUGUAGAAUCUUGUUUAGGCUGGAUGGUCCAUCUCUGCUGCCUUUGAAAGGAUUUUUCCGCUGACCUGGUCGAGAUCCCCUGAAUCCGGCGUUUACCGCUGUAUUAUCUGGGCUGUCUUCUUUAUUUCGACGCUUGCUUUUACUGCGUCAUGGUUUUCCAUUGUCCUCCCUGACUUCGGAUGUGCUUGGGUCGCUGGUGCUACUGCGGGCUAACCAACUAUCUUCGCCCGCGCAAAAGUGGGUCAAGAGGCUUGUCAGGGCUGCCAUUGUUCUCGGUUUUUCUUGGCGGGUGUCUGGCGAGCCAUUCGUCUCAGACGCUGUGCUUGAAAGCUACUAAGGCUUCGGCGUCCGGGCAGUCGACGAUUUGGUUCUUCUUACUGAGAAACCUGUUCCAAAGCUUUUGGGCUGUCUCUCCGGGCUGUUGAAUUAUAUGACUUAAAUCGUUUGCAUCCGGAGGUCGGACAUAGGUCCCUUGAAAAUUAGCCCGAAAAGCUUCCUCGAGCUCCUCCCAACUUCCAAUUGAGUUUUCGGGGAGGGUUUUCAGCCAGUGCCGAGCUGGUCUUUAAGCUUGAGGGGCAAGUACUUGAUGGCGUGGAGAUCGUCUCCGCGAGCCAUAUGGAUAUGGAGGUUAAAGUCCUCAAUCCAGACCCCAGGGUCUGUGGUCCUGCCAUACGCCUCUAUGUUCACUGGUUUGAAUCCUUCUGGAAAUUCGUGGUCCAGCACCUCAUCGGUGAAACAUAGGGGGUGUGUGGCACCCCUGUAUUUGGAUGUAUCAUGGCAUUCGGACGGUUGUAGUAUUCGGUUUUGAUUGUGUGCCGGAGCGCGCUUCCUAGAUCCAUAGAUGGAUCUGGUCAUACUGGAUUUUUGGCGCAAGUCCUCACGUAGAUCGUGUGUUGACUUAUGUGCGGCCUUGUUAGCCGCUCUAUCGCGGCCGCAAGGUUGUUGAUCCGGCCGGUUGGCUGUUUUAUUUUUCGGCAGUGUGGGCUCUAAGGCCUCAUCGUUGAAUUUAGGUAAUAGCUUGCGCUUUGGAUAGCUCUUUGUGUGGUAACUUCCACCAUACUUUUCUUCGUUGUCGAGCACUUUGUUGCACCUGCUGUUGAGUGUAUUUUGUGCGGCCUUAAGCCUUUGCUUCUGCUUCUUCAAACUCCUUGCGGUGGCAAUAAGCCUUCUAUGGAGUUCUCUUGUUCCAAGUGCCUUUCCGGGAUGAUGUGUGCAUCUUCGUCCAGACUGUUUUCCUCCCCCGAGGGGGGUUGAUGAGGUUUAUCCUCGGCAUCACCAUUUGUAGUUUCAUCGUGCUCUGUCGCUGGGUCAAUGUGGUCGUCGUUUCCUCUGGAGUCGACUGGAGUGUUAUUUUCUCCUGCGUUGUUAUCGUUGUUUUUGCCGAGGCGGGAUUUUGAGCGGCGCCUAUGCCGACGCUUUGCUUGCUUCUCGAGGGAGCUAUUCUUCGCUACAUCCUGUCGUUCUUCGUCAUUGUUUUCUUUGGGUGUAUCCACCAUGUAUAUGUCAUGUGGUGAAGUGGCUGUCCAGCGCCCUGUGGGCACUGGUUCCGGUUCCUCUCCUGCAUCGUCAUCCGUGCCGUCGAUGUCUUUGGAGUCGAAAUCGAGCAUGUCAGUUAAAUCGUUGACAGAAGUGGGUGGUGGGUGGGCAGUGAACUUCUUCGCCGUCCGCAUCCCAUUCUAGCUGGAUAUAGUUCGGCCAAGGCUCUCCUAACAAGGAGAGAGACCUUAAUGAAUUUAGCACGUCGCCGAAAGGUGAGUGCUGAAAGAUAUUCGUGGAGGUGAACUCCAUGAUCGGCGCCUAAUCGGAUUAGAUGGGCACGGACGCAGGCGGCUCGGAGUCCGCUCGGCAAAACGGCUCUCGUAAGGGGUGAAGUCACUAUCCGGCUCCAUCGCCACUGAGAGUGCGGCCACCAUGGCGGGGUCUAUCCACCCGUCCUUGGGUGGCGCAAUUUUCUCCGGAUCGAGGGCCGGAGUAGUUGCAGGUGUGAUCUCCCGAACAUUGUCCGAUGGCAGAGUUACGUCAUGCUUGUCGUGAUCGUGCGGUGCACCUGACAUGGGCUCGAAUCCAUCGAAUAUCAAGUCUCCGCGGAUGUCGGCAGUGUAGUUUAAGUUUCCGAACCUGACCUGAUGGCCAGGAGCGUAGCUCUCGGUCUGCUCCAGAUGGCCAAGCGAGUUGGCCCGCAGUACGAAGCCGCCAAAUACGAAGAUCUGUCCGGGGAGGAAAACCUCAUCCUGGACCGCAUCGUUACCGAUGAUCGAAGGAGCCAUCUAGCCUUAUGGUGAUUACAUAGUGGAACUCUCAAUGAAAGCACCAAUGUCGGUGUCAAAACCGGCGGAUCUCGGGUAGGGGGUCCCAAACUGUGCGUUUGAGGCGGAUGGUAACAGGAGGUGGGGGACAUGAUGUUUACCCAGGUUCGGGUCCUCUAGAUGGAGGUAAUACCCAACUUCCUGUUUGAUUGAUCUUGAUGAUAUGAGUAUUACAAGAGUUGAUCUACCACGAGAUCGUAGAGGCUAAACCCUAGAAGCUAGCCUAUGGUAUGAUUGUUGUUGUCCUACAGACUAAACCCUCCGGUUUAUAUAGGCACCGGAGGGGGCUAGGGUUACGCAGAGUCAGUUACAAGGGAGGAGAUCUACAUAUCCGUAUUGCCAAGCUUGCCUUCCACGCCAAGGAAUGUCCCAUCUGGACACAGGACGAAGUCUUCAAUCUUGUAUCUCCAUAGUCCAACAGUUCGGCCAAAGGAUAUAGUCCGGCUGUCUAGAAACCCCUAAAUCGAGGACUUCGAGACCAAGGAAGGGCAGUACCCAAGCACCGGUCUACCCACAUAUCAAAUUAUCAAAGUAACGAACGUGAAUGAUAUGAGCAUGAUGAAAACUAGCUUGAUGAUAAUUCCCAUGUGUCCUCAGGAGCGCUUUCCUUUAUAUAAGAGUUUGUCCAGGCUUGUCCUCUGCUACAAAAAGGAUUGGGCUACCUUGCGGCACCUUGUUUACUUUUGUUACUUGUUACCCGUUACGAAAUACCUUAUCCCGAAACUAUCUGUUACCGAUAAUUUCAGUGCUUGUAGAGAAUACCUUACUAAAAACAGCUUGUCAUUUCCUUCUGCUCCUCAUUGGGUUCGACACUCUUACUUAUCGAAAGGACUACGAUAGAUCCCCUAUACUUGUAGUCAUCAGGAUCCAAGAUGCAUAUACAGCACUCCUACUCGUUUGUGCUCGCAUUGCCAUCGCAGUCAGUGAGGGAGUCCUGGAUUAGGGGGUCUCCGGACAGCCGGACUAUAUCCUUUGGCCGGACUGUUGGACUAUGAAGAUACAAGAUUGAAGACUUCGUCUCGUGUCUGGAUGGGACUCUCCUUAGCAUGGAAGGCAAGCUUGGCAAUACGGAUAUGUAGAUCUCCUUCCUUGUAACCGACUCUGUGUAACCCAAGCCUCCUCUGUUGUCUAUAUAAACCAGAGGGUUUAGUCCGUAGGACAACAACAAUCAUACCAUAGGCUAGCUUCUUGGGUUUAGCCUCUACGAUCUCGUGGUAGAUCAACUCUUGUAAUACUCAUAUCAUCAAGAUCAAUCAAGCAGGAAGUAGGGUAUUACCUCCAUCGAGAGGGCCCAAACCUAUGUAAACAUCGUGUCCCCCACCUCCUGUUACCAUCCGCCUCAGACGCACAGUUCGGGACCCCCUACCCGAGAUCCGCCGGUUUUGACACCGACAUUGGUGCUUUUAUCGAGAGUUCCACUGUGUCGUCACCAUAAGGCUUGAUGGCUCCUUCUAUCAUCGGUAACGACGCGGUCCAGGGUGAGGUUUUCCUCCCCGGACAGAUCUUCGUAUUCGGCGGCUUCGCACUGUGGGCCAACUCGCUUGGCCAUCUGGAGCAGAUCGAGAGCUACACCCCUGGCCAUCAGGUCAGGUUCGGAAACUUAAACUACACUGCCGACAUCCGCGGAGACAUGAUCUUCGACGGAUUCGAGCCCAUGUCAGGUGCGCCGCACAAUCACGUCGAGCAUGACGUAACUUAGCCGUCAGACAGUGUUCGUGAGAUCACACCUACAACUACUCCGGCCCUCAAUCCGGAGCAAAUUGCGCCAUCUGAGGACGGGGGGAUAGACCCCACCAUGGAGGCUGCACUCUCAGUGGCGAUGGAGCCAGAUACUGACUUCACCCCUCACGAGAGCCGUGUUGCCGAACCACUCAAUUCGUCUCCGGCUACGGACUCCGAGCCGCCUGCAUCCGUGCCUAUCGAAUCCGAUUGGGCGCCGAUCAUGGAGUUCACCUACGCGGAUACCACUACAAAAAAAGACACAUCCGUGACAUUUUGGGCCGAACAAAUUCUUUUU